UUUUUUUUUUUUUUUUUUUUUGUAUUUUGAGCACAAAAAGAAAAAUGGGAAAAAACGGAAAGAAAACUCCAAUCCAAACGAGUUUUCCACGCUUUGGGUGUCAUCUUUUUGUAUUUUCAUUUAAAAAAAAUGAAAGAACUCCAUCCAAACGACGUUUACCCCUCAAACACUUAAAAAUGUGUCAUCCUUUGAAUUUUUUCAUUCUCACAUAUUUGAAUUGCGAGUUUUGCAUAUCGAAAUAUUUGUUUAGCAUGUUUCUCAAUUAUCUAUUUACCUUAUAUAAUCACAUGGUUACAAUAAAUUUUUGUACGAAAACUCCAAUCUAAACCGACAAAUUUGUAACCUUACACAUCUUUUCUCUUUCUCCCCAUGACAUUCAGCACAAAUUUUGUAGUUAAGCACACACCUGAAUUAUUUUAAAAACACACUAAUAAUACAUUAGGGAAAAAGGUCUGCAUAUGGGAAGUAGCCAAUUAAUGAUGAUUGUUCUAUAUUCUUGAAAGGAAAAAAAUAGCAUAACAUAAAUUAAGAUAUUAAAAGAGAACUCAAACUGAGCUAAGAAAGAGGAUCCACCUCUAUCAUAUGGGCAAACAGCGCCAUCCAAAAUGCUUCACCCGAUGGCCAACUCGCUUAGAAAUGGGUUGGUUAUACAAGAGUAGAAUCGGAGUUCAACUUUGGCACAGGAGAGGCCUCUUAUCCCUCCAGCCUGGUUCAAGCGUAAGCAAACGGUGCUUAGGAGUUCAAAUAAACAAGUCAGUGAUGCUUAUCAGCUUUUUUGGACAGCAAUUGAAUAUAAUAAACCCGAUAAAGUGAGGGUGGGAUCAUUAAAUUCUUAAACAACUCCAAUUUGAUACAGAUUGCAGGGAAUAGGCCGAUAAAACCCAACAAAACAGAAAAAGAUAGACACAGAACCUCGUUGCUGACUCAGCAUUGAACUCUGUAAGCUCUCCAUAACUUCCUAAUUUUAGUAAGUUUUCCCUGAAAUUGUUUUCUUGAAUCGUUCAGCAACAUCAUCUCAUCUAUCAGUAAUCUGGGUGGAAACACUUUGAAUUAGUUUUCUGAAUUUUAAUGUUUGACUUCUUUCGUUCAAAUCCGUCAGACGGUUGCUGAGACUGUAAUUUGAGUUAUAAAGUCUCAAUGAUCUGUCUUUUUGACUUCUUUCAAGAAUAUGUUCUUGAUUUAAAUAACGUUACUCUCUAAGUAAUUGUGGUGUAUAAGGUUUUCAAGUUUCCUGCGUAUGCUUUAGAAAAUAUUAAAUGCAGCUACUGCACCAUGUCAAACUAUGCUGCAAGACUCGUCUUUUAAGUUUCAGAUAGGGUGUCUGCAAUGUGGCUUUGACUUCUUUCUAGUGAUUGGCUUGCUGUACAGAAAAAUAGGGUAGCCCGGAUGACUGGACCUAAAGCAAAAAAGCUGGAGCGGAUGCACUUAAUUUUUUGUUUUUCCACCACUGGAUUGGGAUUUAUUUUAAACUUUUUCUCUGAUGGAAAUCUAACAACACAAAGCAAAGUGGAAGACAAUCAUUUAUAGAGUUUCUUCUGAUUUUAAUUGUUCGCACCUUAGAUAAUUGUUUCUGGCAUUUAACUCCAUUUUUGCUGUUAAUGAGAUUCAAAAUCAGACUAUUUGCUAUUUGCAGCAUGUUUGAUGAUUUUGUCUAUUCACUAUUGCACUGCUGUUUUGGGCUACGAUAUUUGAAUGUGUUGUAUACCAAAUAAAUAUUGAUUAGUGAAUUAGCAUUCUUGGUUCUUUGCCGGCUUCAUUGUUUAUCUAUGCAGUAUGUUUUUUCUUGGACUCACAUCGUAUAUGGUUUCUAAUUUGUAUUCACUUUUAGGUUGUGAUAAUAUGAAUUACUCCUUGAAAUGCCAGUUUCUUAUAGUGACUGUUUAAAACGUUUAUGUUUCAGCUCCAUCGUAGUGUCAUCACCAUAUGGCGCUUUACCGCAGCUCUCACUCAAUCCGCAGAGCCGUUGCCAAUAGUUGGAGACUCUCACUAAAGCCAAUUUCAGCAGCCUACAAUUCUUGUGAUUGGAGUUACUUCAAUGAGAAUAAUGACAAUAAUUGUGUCGUUUUAAUUUUGUUAAGAGCCCAUUUACAUCUGGUUCUCCCCAUGUGAAAUUUUCGAACACUGAUACUUCAACAUCAUCGUACUCAACAUUACACCCCUCCAUGAAGGGCCUUCUUAUAUGCGUGCUGCUGUUUUUUGGGAACCAAACAAACCCUCACAAUUGAAGACUUCCAAAUGCCCCGGCCAAAAGCUAAUGAAAUCCUCAUCAAAACCAAGGGUACAUCUGUUCCUCCUAUACCUCUAUUCCUUUUAUUAUACAUCAGCUGUCAACAUCAUGAAAAUAGAAAAUCCAAGAAUUUAGUUUCGUUUAGAAGAUCACCAAACUGAAGGUGACUCUUUCCAAGAAUAUUUGACUAUCUGGUUGCUAUAUAUGACUUCAAUCAUGCAUGAAUAGUCAAAACCCAAUAGUAACCGUAGUUUAAGUAAUCUAGGUGUAUAUGUGUAGACAGCUGGAAUUAUCUUGCAUAAAAACUGUAUAGUGAAUUAGCUGGAUGCAAGCAGGCAUGACACAGCCAAAAGGGAAGAAAUAGGAUGUGAGACUAGUAGAUGAUGCUUCUUGUCUUGCUAAUGAGCGUUUCCAUCAUUAGCUUAAAGUGUUAGUGCGCUUUAUGAAACUUAAUAUCUUAAAUGAUAUGUUUGCUUCAAUCAACUGCGUGCAGCCUGUGGGGUGUGCCACUCGGAUCUGCAUGUAAUAAAAGGUGAGCUUCCAUUUGCAAGCCCUUGCGUCGUGGGCCAUGAGAUAACAGGUGAGGUCGUUGAACAUGGCGCACUCACCGACUCUAAAAUCGUUGAAAGGUUUAACAUUUAGUUUGUGUGUCCCUUUCGUGAUAUGCAGUGUAGUUGCAAACAUGCUCACCUUUUACUGAUUCUUUGCUUUGAAUUUUAUUUCUUCAGAUUUCCUGUAGGAGCUCAAGUUGUUGGAGCUUUCAUAAUGCCUUGUGGUAGUUGUUUCUUUUGCUCUAAGGUGGCUUGCAUUGAUACUUUACUUUUCAUCUGCUUGCCAUAUUUGUAUGUCAUUCGUUUUACUUCAUUUAGAGCAUAAUAAAAUCAAAUCAAAUUAUGAGCUGAUGAUGAAUUUGGGUUGGAAAUAGGGUCAAGAUGACUUGUGUGAGUCAUUCUUUGCUUAUAACCGAGCAAAAGGAACACUUUAUGAUGGUGAAACACGGCUAUUUCUCCGUAGCAAUGGUAAUCAAGUCUUUACAGCUUUUUGUGUUGGGUUUCAAACUGCUUUGCUCUACUUGUAGGUUGAGUGUAUAAUUUUUUGCAUUUGAUCACCUUAUGUUGCCACUUUGGUGUGGAAUAUUAUAGAUCACAACUUUUUGAAAUUUUUGUAGCAUCAGGAAUCUUUAAACUUUGAUGUUAAAUCCAAAUAUGGAUGUGUCUCCUUAUUCCAAAGAAAGGGUCUUUUCCCUUAUUUUUAACUGUAUUACAAUAUUCGUAAGAAGUUGAAUUUUCAUUUGAGUUGUAUUUGAAGAUUCCCAUGUUUUCUUCCAUAUUAUGCUCCAUUAAACCAUUGCACAAAUAGUUGUUUUCCCUAAUGUCUACAAAAUUUCCAGUGUCUAUUAUGGAUAUUUUACCUCCAUCAAGCUACAAGAAUUAAAGCUUUGUGCAAAGUAUAGCUUUGCUUUUAUGGUUAAAGGUUCAAAUUUGGGUUUCCUGCAUAAGCUCCUGAUGGAUCUUCAUUUUGUGGGAUUUGCCAAACAAUUUUUUGCUUCUUUAAGUGAAAAUGAUUCUUUGUAGAACAGGCUUUAAGAAGUUUGUUUGAUUUUGGAUGCGCAGGAAAACCAGUGUAUAUGUACAGUAUGGGAGGUCUUGCGGAGUACUGUGUAGUGCCAGCACAUGGAUUGACUGUUCUACCGAAUUCCUUGCCUUACACUGAAUCUGCUAUACUGGGUUGUGCUGUUUUUACUGCUACGGGGCUAUGGCUCAUGCUGCACAGGUUCGCCCUGGCGAUGCCAUUGCUGUGAUUGGCAUAGGUGGUGUGGGCUCAAGGUAUAAAACUCAGAUUCCUUGGGUAGUACUGCCCAUUCUAUUUACAGGUUUAAAUAUUUCAUUUGGGUUUUAUGACCAAAUGAGAAAUGCAGGUUUCUGUGAAACGAGAAAGUUGUUUAAUUAUAAUGAUAGAAGCAUAAUGUAUAUCCAGAUAUGGUGUUUGGAUUUCGUUUAUGAAGAUUGCUUUUAUGUUAUGGGAGUGAAAAGUUACUCAAGGUAUCAAUGGAAGUACUUCUAGAAUUUUUCUUCCUUUCAUCUGUACUCUUCUCUUUUUAUCAGUGAUAAGGCCUGAUGACUGACACUGUGAAGGCCUUGUUUCCGUGUUGAAAGGGCAAAAAAGACUAAUUGAGAUACUUCUCUUGGAGAGAUAGCCAUCCAUUCAUACUCUCUUGAUCAUUGAAGUGCAUGAGUAUGCCUUCAUAUGCUUUGAUUAAGCUUGGUGGAUAAUGCUCUAAAUAUAGUACAAUUUUCUGGCGAUUAAGAUUUUUGGAGAUAUUCUUGGGUUUGGGCAUCUCAAUAGUUGUUGUUGUUAUCAUGGCUUAUAACUCAUUUUUCAUGGUCUUUUUCAAAAUGCACCAGUUACCCAUUCUGAUUCUCAAGUACUGGAAAAGGAUAUGGGAACUUUUGCAGAUGCUUGCUUGAAAUUUAUGUGCCACGAUUAUCUUCUGGACCAAUCAAUCUUCACUACAUUUAACUUGUUGUGCAUGACUUGCAAUCGUCUCAUGAUUACUAAUUGGUGGAAGAGCAACUCUCAAGGAUCUGUGUUUAGGGAAAUCACAUAUAACGCUGGAAAUAGAAGUUAACAGUUAUAACUACAAGAAAGUGUUGUUGCUCAUGGAUCUUCAUGUUUUGGAUGCUGGAUGAAAUCAAUAUAUACCUACACAUGAACUUUUACCUUACUACAUGAAAACGUAGACCAUGAUGGUAGCAGCCAUUGUCAAAAUUGUCUUUUUUUUUUUUUUUUCCUUUGCUUCUCUCUUUUUACUCUUUAUUCUUGAUAUCUUCCUGCACAAAAAUUAGAACUUUUGGCAAUUUAAGCUUUAAUUUAGUGAAGUACAGAAUGUAAAAGUAAAUACAAAUCUCAUUUUGUUUUUUUUUUCCUUGCUCAGUUGCCUGCAGAUAGCACGGGCAUUUGGGGCUUCUGAGAUUAUUGCUGUGGAUGUCCAAGAUGAGAAACUGCAGAAAGCAAAAACUCUUGGAGCUACUUAUACCAUAAAUGCACGAAAUGAAGAUGCUGCUAAAAAAAUUAAGGUAGUUGAUCCUUUUCUUUUGUAUUUAAUUUCGAGAUAAAACAAUUUCUUAUUAUAGGGUUUCUGAACAAUAAUGUUUUACACUUUUUGUCAUGUUAAAGUAGUUUCUUGAAAAGAUUGGCUUAGGCAUGUAAAGUCCUGCCAACGAAGUAAUUGAGCCUUCUUUGCAGGUGGGCAUGUGGUUCACAUUUUGCUUUUCUUGGGUGUAUGUUCUUACUUUUUUGCUAAUUUAGAUUAUACAUACAUGUGUUUCAAUGUGUUUCAUAUCUAAUAUUUUAAUUUUCAUGCUGAGUUAUUGUUCUAUGGAUUUGCAUCCUGAUGAAAACAUACCUAAGCUUGAAUCUUUCUGAUGCAAAACCUGAACUAUGGCAUUCUUCAUGCUGCUCUAUUAGAUAGUUUUGACUUCAUACAAUUUUAAUUAGCUUUCACAAGUACCCACCUUAUCCAUCUAGAUUGAAAAGUAGCUUUCCUAGAUUAAUUGCUGCUGCACACCCCUCUAGUCUUGUGCAAACAGAUUCAACAGUUUCUCUCUCUCGGUAUCUGCUUUUCCAUUUCUCUCUCCUUUUGACUUUCUAUAUGUGACUGCCCAUAGAUUUAUGUCUCUGACAGAACAUAAUACUUGAUUGGCAAUCAUUUGAAGCUAGAAGCUGCAUACAAGUUCUUAAUUAAAAAUUCCUUGUAAAGAGAUGAUUAAAGGUUCCGCGGAUAACAGGUUUAUUUUAACAGGAAAUAACAGGGGGAAUGGGUGUAGAUGUUGCUGUGGAAGCCUUGGGAAAACCACAAACCUUUAAUCAGUGUGUUCAGAGUGUUCGAGAUGGAGGAAAAGCAGUAAUGAUUGGCCUUACACUCUCUGGUGCCAAAGGCGAGGUUGACAUAAAUCAUUUGGUUCGUAGACAGGUGUGUGAAUUAUUUCAUAGAAAUUAAAAUUUCUGUUUUACAUAGUGAAUUUUUAUUCUAAAGUAGUAGUAGUAUUUUUCUUUACUCGAAAGCACAACAUGGACCCGUUUAAAUAAACAAUUUUGUUUAGAAAUUUGAAUUGUUCAGGGAAGGGAUAAUUUAGUUGGCAGGCCCAUGCUAAUUGUGUUAAAGGUAAAUUUCUAGAUUAGACAUGGUGAAAACUAGAAGGUACUAACUAGUUACUGGAAUUGAGGUCGUGCUUGUAACAAGUGACAUCUGAGUUCGUCUAGCUUGGUGAUUAAAAAGCAUCAGUAUCAAUCUCUAUUUGGCGGUAAAAACUAAAACUGGAAAUUACCGGCCUCUCUACAUGGUUAUUGAGGUUCCUUGCGACGAGUUGCAUCUUGUAUUCAUUCACCUUGCAAUUUAGAUUGUCGGUGGCCCUCCUAUUGCCAGUUACACAGUCAAAGUCAAGUUCUUGUGCUUCCCUUUCAGCAAGAGGACUGUAGGAAUGUGAUUCUGUCAUUCAGACAAUUCAUUGUCAAUAGCUUUUUCCUUGCUCAAGCUCUCCGAUAAUGCACAUUAGGCUUCUAGAUAAUCAGAUUACCUUUUCCAUUUCAUGCUUGUUGUGCGUAACAUACUUCUUUUGGCAUUUGCAUGUUGCAGAUAAAAGUAAUUGGAUCAUAUGGGGUAGGGCGAGGCAAGAUUUGCCCAAGUUGGUUAAACUAGCAGAAAGUGGCAUAUUCAAUCUCAAGGCAGCUGUUUCCAGGACAUUGACGUUUGAAGAGGCUGAUAAAGCAUAUAAGGACCUUGACAAGGGAAACAUUAUUGGACGUGCUGUUGUGGAGAUCAUGUAAUUUCGCACUCUGAAACUUUGAAAGAAAUGGUUCUUGCCAUGCCACAGUGCCGGCCUAUAAGUUCUUGUUGUCUGUGAAACUAGAGUUCAGUUUGUAAAGAAACAACUCUUUCUGAGUCUGGAAAGACAAAUGGAAAAUACUUUUGCUUUUUAAUAAGUAACAUUUUAGCACUUGAUUUUACUCCUUUAUAACUUGCAGUGGUCUUUUUAACUUGCAGAUAAUGCAACUUCUGCAAAAAUGCAUUUAGAUGUUCUCCUUUAUAUCUAGAAAUCUUCCAUUCAAGAAAAGCAUUAUCAAACUGCUAUUAUUCAUGCAGAGCAGUCAUUGUGCAUAUUGUACUGAAUGGACAAAUCAGGGUUUGGAUUGUGGUUUUACGCAGAAAACUUUUUACGUUUUCCGUGAACACAUUUUUCAAUUAUCUUUUUAUCUUAUAUAUAUCAAAUUAUUACAACAUAUUUUUCCACAAAAACUUCUAAAAAUAAUAAUUCAACCGACAGACCUGAACAUUCUCUUAGGUGCAAUUUGUCUUCUUAGCUUAACAACAGGCUUGUGGAGAAUGAAAAGAGAAAUUCCAAGAUAAAAAGAAUUACUAACAGGGAGGUUAUCUGGAAGAUUGAUCAAAUAAAGUAGGUAGAAUUUUGUUUACAAAAAUGGAUUUAUACUUCACGUCCCAUCUAUAUUAAGUUUUUCCUUUUUAAAUUUAUUUUUCAACAUAUCUAGUCUAUGCGGGAAUGGGGAGCUUUUCAAUCGAGUUCUGAUUGCUGACGUGGCGAGCUUCCAUUGGCCGAUUGGUGGUCGUCUGCCUCGUGUGAAUUCGCUCGCGUGAAUUUGGUCCGUCCAGCCGAUUGUUUCUUUCUUUUCUUUGUUUGCUUGGAUGUCUACAUUGGAGCCUGCCGCAAAAUUGUGGUCCCACGUCCUUUGGUUUUUUUUCCCUUUUCUUUUUUUAAAAUUGGAUGGAAGUGCUUGUUAAUAACCUUUUUUUGGAUGCUACACCCCUCUCAUUCCCUUGUUGGUUUAGAAUUAUCCCGGCAGAAUUAUCCAAUAAUUCCCUUAUUGAAUUGGAAUUAUCCCUCUUUUUAAACUAUCUAAUUAGCAUUUUCCCCAAUUGUUAGCUAAAGAAUGCCUUUUGUGGUUCCUAAAAAAAACGCACAUAAUUAUCAAAUUCUUUCCAAUUAAUUGUUCGUUAACUGAUUAAUAAACUCGAUUUUUACUUAUUACGUAACAAAUCGCAUUUAGCUAUCCCCCUCUUACAAUUAUUGACAUAUUUGGACUUUCCAACUAAAUCGCAAUUACUUAUCGAUUUCUUGUAAUUGCCUUAUAUUAAUUAUUGGCACAUGCUUUUUUUUUUUUAGAAUGAGAGGGGGUUUAUUUGGUAUCGAUUUUACGUAAACAAUCAACAAUGUGGUGCGCUUCCGUUGGUGUCAUUUAUCGUUUGUCCACGCCGCGCACCGCAUUUGAUUAUCGAUUCUCCGUUGUUAAUUUUUAUAACUAUUUAUUUAUCUCUUUUUAUUUGGAUUCCCUUUUUUUAACCAAUAAAUCACGUUUAAUUACCAAUUAUUUAUUCUUAAUUGUUAAUGACUUAUUAAUGAUGCCAUUUUUUCCCUUUCUCAACAAUAGAUUGUGUUGCCAAAAAACUUGAUAUCCCGGUUCUUUACAAUUAUUACUACUUUCCCUUUGUUUCCAGAUAAAUUGCACUUAUUAAUAAUUAUUUUUUUUUUGCAAUAAUUGCUUAUAUAUUAUCUUUUUUUGCAAUAAUUGCUUAUAUAUUAUCUUUUUUUAAAAUUGCUUUUGUUAUCCUUCAAUUGUGAAAAUUUUACACUUCAAUUGAUUUUACCUGGUCACGCCACACACCAUGCUUAAUUAUUGAUUCCCGACUAUUAAUUGUUAUAAUUAUUUGCUUACCUAUUUUUAUUUGUGUUCUUUUUUUUGUUAGCAAACAAAUCAUAUUUGAUUACCAACUUUUUAGAAUACAUUGUUAAUAACUGAUAAAUAAUACCAUUUUUUUUUAUCGCCAUUUUUUGUUACCCAACAACUGGCAUUUAAUUCAUAACUUUUUUGCAAUUAUUAGCAACAUUUCUUUUCUUGUCAGAGAUAUCACAUCUAAUUUCCUUUUUUCCAAAUUUCAUUAAGAAAAUGUCCUCUUUUGUUUUGGGUUGCCCAACAAAUGGACUUUAAUUAUCAGUUUUUUUCAAUUACUCUUUUAUUAAUUCGGUUCUGAUUUGGCAGUUUUAUUGCUACAAAAAUCACAUUUAAUUGCUGGCCUUUUUUAGUAUUAAUACUUUUUGUUACCCACAAAAAUCGCAUUUAAUUACCAAUUCUAUGUAGUUAUUAGCCAAGAAAUAUGCUUGUCUUAUUCUUUUCUUUCGUUACUUUUCCUGUCGUAACCAAACUCCUUAUUGCUAAUCUGAUUGACUCAUUUUUACAAACAAGCCUGCAUCUUGUUUGUUUAGUUCCAGAGCAAGCUUUCUCGAGUUCCUCAUCAGUCACUACUUGUCACCAGCCUGUUUCUGCCGACAAGUGACUGUACUUGACCUGAUUAAUUGCUACCUUAAUUUUCUAUAUUACCCAUCCCUUGUGACUAUAUUUACGAUUCCACUCCAUGGACCUUGUCGCCUUUUGUCCUUUACUUGAGGUUAUGUUUGUAAAUCUAUAAACAACCGUCAUUUUUCGCCAUUGUCUACCAUCAGCUUCCUUUUGCUGCGGUUGAUUGACACUGUUUGGUGUUUUGCAUUUGCACAAUGGAUACAGAGUUUCUCUGGUUUUCCGCGGCGGAUUUUCUACUGAGCAUCAUCAUGAACAAUGGUAAUUGUGCACCCGCUGCAUUCUUUUCUCUAUUCUAAAACUCUUGUUUCUUUGUUAGCCAGAGGGAACUACCUCAUACCGAUUGUUCUUCGUUUUCUUUGGCUGUUUUGAACCUUCAUUUUCCCUAAUUUAUCAGUUUGGUUUUAAUUUGCACUGGUGCUGUCGUUUUUGCUUUCCUGUGAGCAUGUUGGUUUUAUAUUCGGCUUAAUUUGUUGUUCUUUAACUGUUUAUAUAUUUCAAAGAUUGCUAUCAGGCUGCUUUGCUUUUUAUUUCUUCCUUGCUUCUCGGCUUUCUAAUGCACUGGUUCAACUAUUUUUCCUCUUUUUUUGUCUGCCCCUUCUAAAUUAUUAUCACCGAAUUAGCUUCUAUUUUUCUCUCCCAUUUUUUUCACCUUUUCUUAUGACCUCUUACAUGAUUGCCAUUUCUUUGAUAGUUUCUGCUGCUAUUCACUUCUGCGGUGUUGAGCUUCUUCGUGUUCACAGGUUAGCUCUUCUGAUUUUGUUCUCGUUUUGCUCUUUUCUCUAUAUUUUAUCCUUAAUUUGUGCAUCUUUGGGAUAUAUUUUCUGAUGCAUCAGCACUUAUGGCCUGCUCCAGCUUUUCCUUUUUUUAGUUUGUGACUUUUUGACUUCCUGUAUCUUUUGUGAUCCUUAUUCUUGCAUAUACGUGUUAUUCUAUUGUUUCUGCUGCUAUACUUACAUGCCUGAUUAUUUUUUAUGUAAGCAUUUGUUCUUUGCUCGGCUGCCGCUAUUAACUCCUUCAUCUCUUUGUGUUCGCUUGUUUUUUGCCUGCUCUGCUUUCUGCCAGUUUUCGAUUUACAUUCUUUUUUGCUAAGUUAGACAUUCCUUUCUUUAUAUAGUCCUUCGACAUUUUUUGCUCUUACUAAAAAAUGAUGGAUGGAAAUGCUACUCGCCGCAAAAAAUACGCAGAAAUGCCAUCUUCGAAAAAAAUGCAACUUCUGCAACGCCGGAAAGAAAAUAGAGCUGCCAAGAAAAAGAAUGCGCAUUUACUCCCACGUAUUCGUAAGGUUCCACUGGGUUAUAUGGAAUCGGGUGUUUCUUUCCCUGAUUCGCAUCAUGAAACCCUUGAUGGUGCGAAUCACUCUUCUAUGCAUAGUGAAAUCUUAGGAGCCGAGGCCUUGAAGAGCGGUAAUGACAAUGCUGCUGUCAUUACUGAGGCAUUACAAUAUAUGUCCUCUCAUGAAUCCGCUCCUUUUAUUCCUCGCGUCCAUUCUGCUCCCUCUUCUCAGACUGCAAACGACAUAGCGGGAAUCUGAUAUUUGAUGUUAUUCACUUUUGUGAACUACAAAAACAAGUUCUUCUGCCUUGGACCGCCCCCCUACCAGAUCUAUUGCACAUGAAUGCCAUUGCAUCAAGAGGUCAAAAUACCGCUGUACCUAUCUCAUAUCCUCAUCUAUAUAGUAUAUUAUUUUAAUGUAACACAGUCAUUUGAUGACAGAUGAUAUCCACAUGGCCGCUACACACCAGCAAGUUACUUCCUCGCUAAGACCAGAUUUCUGUCAAGAUCUAUCUGAUUCAGUGUGCUUUUAUCAAAUCUUUAACUCCGCAACUCCAAACAGCUUGGUAAGCUAUUCUAUGUUUACCUGCAUUCUCUUUUUUCAUCUCAACUUUCUCGCAAGCAAUUUCCUUUUGUUUCUGCAUAUCUUCUAAUCUGCACCUUUUGAUGAUAGAAUAUUCCGCGCUUUGUUGAUCACUUCAUCAAUGAUAUCAAGACUCCCAUGUUACUUAUCAACACUGGACAAAAAACUACUCAAAUUGCUGUAAAGCAUAAACGCCUUCAUCGAAACUGGAGAGAUUUCGUUCUUCAACAUCAAUUGCAACACAAUGAAACUCUGGUCUUUGUUCCGGAAUCUGAAAAUAUAUUUACAGUUUUAAUCUUCGAUGAUACCGGAGUUGAAAAAUAUUUUCCUUGGUAUCACACAUUCAAUAUUUAUUCGGAUGCUUAAUGAAUUUAGCUGAACCGUGCAGUGUAAUUUACCUAUCGAUUGAAUACAUUACUGGUAGUUUCCACUUCUUCUUAGCUAAACCAAGCAACCACUACCCCACGAUCAGUGUUAAUGCAUUGAUUCUUCUUUGAAUUAACUAAUUUUACAAAAUUAAUUAUUCAACUGGGCAUCACUGUGCAUCACUGCUUUCACCCACCGCGCUAUGCGCGGUGAUCCCUCCUAGUAUUUAGAAAAGGAGUGAUGGGAAGGGCGCAAAAUCAACCUCAGGCCACGUCAGCGCCUUCCCCCCACCCCCCUCGGCCUCCUUCCCUCUCCAUUUUAAACAGAAAACAUAAACCCUAACACACACUCAUUCACUUCCUCCCGGUCCUCUCGCUCGCUCUCAGACAAAUAGAAUGAAGAAGAAGAACCAGAAGACGACCGACUCGUCGGCCGCAGCUCUUAUUCCUACACGUUCUACGGCCGAUCUCAAAGCCCUAAUUCAAUCUCACAGCGACUUCUUCGACAGGCUAAUCGAACUCAUCCCAGCAAGAUUCUACCUCCCACCUGAUGACGACGUUUCUGACAACCCCAAGCCCUACUUCCACGGCCUCUCCAAAGCUGCCAAAGCUUCCCUCAAACGCCAAUCCAAGCAAAACCUCAAACUUGCCCGCCGCAACCGCCUCGACCCGGACAAAAUCUCCCAUUCCUCCACCCUCGACCUUCUCAAACAAUCCCUGGACACCAGUGCCCAUGGCGGUGAGGUUGCUGAAAUACCCCCGCAAGACGUCCCGAGGGCUAUUGAUUUAGAGGAGAAGAAUGGUGGGGAUGGUAAUGAUGGUGAAAAGGGUCAAGAAAAGCAGGUUACUUACGAAGAAUUGCGUGAGAAAUUGAGGAAAAAGAUUGAGUCGUUACGCGGGAAUCGAGGCGAGGGAAUAGGAGUGCUAGGAAGGGGAGGGAGGAUAAUAAGGAUAGAGAUAAUCAUAGAGGAGAAAAGAAGAGAAAGAGGGAUGGUGAAGGGAGCAGUGGGAAGGGUGUUGAAGUGGUGGAAAAUGACAGUGAAGAGAUAAUAGAGUAUGGGAAAGUGAAGAUAGGGACGAUGAGAUGGAAGGGGAGAAGAGGAAAAAGAAGAGGAAAAUGUCGAAGGUGAAGGAGUUGGAUAGAGCUAAGCGGUUGGAGGAGGUCAAGAAAGAGAAUCCCAGGGUAGCAGAGAGGGAAUGGUGGAGGGCAGCUGAGAAUAGGGCAAUGGGAGUGAAGGUGCAUGACGAUCCAAGGUUGUUGAGGGAGAGUAUGAAGAAGGAGAAGAAGAGGAAGGAAAAGAAUGCAGAGAAGUGGAAGGAGAGGAUUGAGGGCCAGGAGAAGGCUAAGGAGGGGAAGCAGCAGAAGAGGAAGGAGAACAUUGAAGGGAGGAUUAGGGAUAAAAAGAUGAGGAAGAUUGCUAAAAGGGAGAAGAAGCUCAUGAGGCCUGGGUUCGAGGGGCGCAAGGACGAGUACAUUACGAAAGAUUAAGGUUAGGGGAAGUAAAACUUUUUUCUGGAAAUGGUAUUUGUGUUUUUGGGGUAAUUUGUUUUGGCGAAAAUAAUGUGUUUUAGGAAAAUGUAAGUAUUUCGCAAAAAGCAGAAAUAUCUAGUUACAGAGGUUGCUCAUCUAACUGCUUCAUAUAUGUGUCUCAAAGUUAUAUUUGUAUUCAGCUAUUAGUCUAGUCAGCUAUGUAUGACUUAUGUUUGGGGCUGGCUAUUGCUCUAGUCAAUGAUAGGCAAGCAGUGCAUUAGGUAAAUUAAUCAUGAAGGGUCCAAGGGGAAUGAACUAUAUGUUGAAUGUUCUCCAAAUGUUGGUGGUCUUUGAAGUCAUAGUUACUUGGUCAUCAUCCUACUGCAUUAACUUUAGCAUCCUUUGUUCUCUUUCUUGGCCUGCAAUUUUGAUUCUUGGACUGUUAUAGCCCUUUGAGUUAUCUGGUCUUAGACAGCAAACAUAAUUGACAGAACAUUGUUGCUUUUAUGAAGUUAUCCAGUCCAAUGAUGAGCCUCAUUGGCCACCUUUUGAGUAUAUUGCUGGGAUAGUGACCUUCUUUCCUCUCUAAAACACAAACCUGACAUUGCUAGAUGCAAACUGCUUCAUCGGUGGAAAACUUCUCUUUAACAAUAUCUAAAGCUGAUCUUUACUGUCUGCUGUACUCCUUUUCUUCAGUAUUAUCAAAUUCUGAAUGGAGGUGUUUAAGGGAAAUGGACCGUAUCUUUUCCUUGAUCUUCUAGAAACCUGAAGAUGAAUGAAGGGAAAUACUUCUAAUAGGUUUUGGCAGUGACUUAUCACUCAGUACAAUCAAAUAUAUGCAUAUUACUUCAGGGUAUCUUGUUUCAUCUUUUGAACUUCAUUUUACAUGUACACAUGCAAGAAAAUUGUGAGUGUAUAAUUUCUGUUUCUGAUUGACUUUCUUAUUACCUGUUCCUCUUUAUAUUUUCUUUUAGCAUUUUGGCUUUUGUAUCACUUUUUUUGUGGCCAUUUCUAUCCUUGAGGAGUUUAUAUGUUAGUUCAAUGUUAGUUGGCAUCUGACAUUCACGGCAAUAUGGAUACAUUCAGACAGCUUUUUACGCUUUUUUUUCCUUUUUUUUUUUUCAGUUCUUUACUACUGAACCUUUUGCCUGCAACCCAUUAAGCUUGCCAAAGUAUCCUCCGAGCAAGGAAAUUGACCUCAAAUUGAGAGAUGAAGAAGCCAGGAGGUACUUUUGCAUCCUAUCCUCAGAAAUUUUCCUACUGCUCUAUGUAUAUACUAACUUGAAGGUGUUUUUAGGCAAAGAGGUUUAAGUGGGAAACCACAUGCUGUAGAUGGUGCGAGAAGAGUGAGAGCUCGUGACCGGAUUAGUCGAGCUGUUCCAGCUCCAGAAGCUAAUGCAGAGAAUCAAGCAAAUUUAGAUGUAAGGAAAACAGUAUCUACUUCCCUUAAAACUGAAUAUUAGCCUGCUUAAGUUGAUUCUGCUCUCUAUUAGUCUAGCUCAUAGAAUGGAAAUUGCCAUUUUCUAAUGUCUUGUCAAGUCAGUCCUCAUCUGGUUCUGCACCACUGGCUUUGAAGUAACAGGCACAGUCACCUCUAAAUCUUAGGUUCCCCUUCAUUUGUGGUUUCUUGAGUUUUCCAUAUGAUCCCGCUUGCCUAGCUAACAGUAAUUUUGCCAAAAAGAAUUGAGUAGGAAAUUAUCUUGAGUCUUUUUUUGUUUCUUUUUUCAUCCUGACAUAAAAAUUUCAGACAAGGUGUUUGCUUCUAGGUUUAAUGAGUUUAUCCAUCAUUUACCCAUUUUUUCUACCCGGCAUUUAUAUUACUUACUUAUCUGCAGAGGUGGAGAAUGAUGACAGAAGCAAAUGCUAAGAGCAAAAGCGAAAAAUUUCCACCUCCUCAUCAGGAUGCGGCAGUAGGAUACCCUCUCGAUAACUCCAAUAAUGGCCCUUUAUCGUUUAAUGUGGCUGACAAUUCUUUUAAUUCAUCAAUUUUUGAUCCAAAGUCAUCUCGAUCUCUUAAGAAUACUGCAGCAACUGGUGGACCGUCCAGGAGGAGAAUUAAGAAAGAAGAACCUCAGAUGGUGCCUUCUCGAGGAAUUUUUAAUGCCUUCCUUCCAUCUACAGUUAGGUUAUCAAUGGAUCUAAGGUUCAAGAAGGAAUCAGCUUCAGAGAUUUUUGGUCGCCAAAAGUAGAGUAUGCAUAAGAAAUAAAAAGGUUUUGUGGAUCAAAGUGUUUUUUCUGGCAUUUAAUUUUAUUUUUUUUUCGCUCUUCAUUUUUUUUAUCCAUUUUUUGAGCCUUGCAAUAUUGGAGGCGCUUUUGUAAAUUCUCAAAAGGAACAUCUAAGAAAUUAUGAGUAAAAUUUUCUAUUGAAUUCCCCUCGUUUUUGUACAGUUAAUAGUGCUUCUUGUAAAGUUUCAGAGCUUGGGCCUUCACUUACUUGUAGUUACUUCCUAUGUAAUGAUUCCCCAAAUUCAGAUACACACAUCUUUCUUUGGCUUGGGAAAGUUCUUGUGGGGAUAAAAACUUGUAUCUUGCUGUCUUUUCAUCACCUUGAUCCUCAUUUUAAUUUUUAGCUGUAGUACAGUUGAGUGUUUGAUUUAUGCUAAUUCAGAAGUCAAGAAACGCCCUCGAGCUAGCGGCUUGAAUCUUUGCUAUCUUCCCUAAUUUGUGAGUUUUCUUCAAGAGAUGGGACGAUGGAAGAAGAUGCUAAAAGGCAGGAUAUAUGCUUUGAUAUCUCUUGAUCUCAAGAGGGCUGAGGCAGAUAUAGUAACAAAUAACAGGGAUUGAUACAAGACCUGGAGAAACAUUUUGGCAACGAAUUUUGGUCACAGGUUGCCAAGCCCUUGGCAUGGACUCCGUUUGUAACAUUCAAGAUAGAGUGCUCAUGUGACAUGUAUUUUUAUUCUCAUUGCUGUAAUCGUAUGCCGCAGGUAUGCUUGUAACAAGGAUGCCAAAUACUGAUCUUUAUCCUAUGCAUUGAGAUCAGUAGAAUCGCAUUAUUCGCAUACUUUUAUGGGAGCCUUCCCUUGAGUUUGUUUAGAUUAUCUCUUGUAAAGUUUGUAAUUUGAAUUAGCAAUUGAUUGAAUCUGCAGCUUCGAUUGAAAACAAUACGUGCACGAAAUCAGAGAUUUGGGGAUGUUCUUUAGAGGCAAAGGUGAAUAUGACAGCAAAGGUUGUACAUGACGUUACUGCGAGAAUUUUUCUUCUUUUUCUGAUGUAACAUAUCGCACGAAUCUGAUUCUUUAUCUGAACAACUCAUCUUCUGUAGUUUUGUGAUAAGAUUACAAGAAUCCACAAUAGUGGGAUUAAUAUAAAUAAAUCACAAACUCAAACUAACUCACACAAAUAUGGUUCAAAGUUGCGGUUGCAAUCGCGAUCGUGGUCUAAACCGUUCCACAUCGAUUUCGACAUGUCGGCGAGACGUAAAUUUUAAAACAUUUAAUAUUCUAAAAAUUGUGAAUAAUAUAAAAAAAUGAUAAACAAAAAUAAUAAAAAAUUAGUAAAACUAAUAAAAAUUUAAGUUGACUUGAAAUGAUUCAGGACAAUUCAACCGUUCUUAUCCGUCUCAGAGAUGUGUCGGCCAAGUUCUCAUUGAUCCAUUAUCUUGAAAUUAUCUCGUUUCGAUAUCGUAUCCGAGAGCUCCGUUCCGGUGACGGCCGAGUCUUUGAACCAUGCUCACAAAUGAAAGAAAUUACAAUUCAACAUAGCUACAAACUAAUCACAUAAAGUAGGAGAGGAGUCUAACAUUAGCGAGACUUGAACCAAAAGUACAGGCCUUGGGACCUCAAUCUUAACUAUUAGACUAAAGUUUUAUUAACAUCUUUUGUAGAUUUAAAGACUAUGAGUCAUUUUCAACAACCAGUCAUAGUAGUAGAAAUAUGAGUAAAUGUGUUGGUUGCAACUGUGAUGAAGAAGGUCGCUGAAAGGAAAACACAGCUGGGGAUGGCAGUUGCUUCCAUAAUUACUUUUCGAGCUAAUAAUGUGGUUGGAAUCUCGACUGUCGUCCACAACUUUGGGAAUAUUUCAGUCGUGAUGCUUAAUACUAAUGGCUGCAGGCAAGGAGACUGAGAGAACCUCCUAACCCCACCACCUACAACGUGACAAUUAUGCCAGUGGCAAUACAUUUGAGGUUCUUUAUUCUUUGCUCGAGAAUAAAGACCAAUAGACAACAUUGCUUGGACAAGGCUCAGAAGCCUCUCCUCUCUAUAAAUUUGUAGUCAAGUCCUCUCAGUUCGCUUCACUAUAUCUUUCUUAUGUAGACUUGGCCAAUUAACCUGCAAUUAGAGAAUUGAGGAUGAAACCUCAACAAUUCUCUGGUGAUCAUCAUCACCAUCAUGACUCUUUGAUGAAUCGUCGUGACUCGAAGAGAACAGUCACCAUACAAGAGAAGCUAAGGUUAGUUUAUGAGAAAGCUCUGGGGAAAAUGGCUGCAGGUCAAACUUCGAUGGGAGAUGGUGGCCGAAAUAACAUAAUCCAGGAACAUGAAAGACGAAACCAGCGCUCCUUUAUCGAAGAUCCCAUCAGGACUAUGAUCUUCUUGGGCUCCUGGAGCCAUACUUGAAUCUGCUCCUCGUGGCCAGUCAAUUCAACAUCAUGCAGGGCUUGCUAUUCUCACACAAAAAUGCAUGAUGACAAGAUAUAUGUCAUCUCACCUACCAUGUACUUUAAGCAGCAACACAGGGAUUUAAAGUAUAGAAGAGAAAUGUAAAUAUUGCAUCUGUAUGUUAGCUAUAUCAACCCUUUAUUUGCAUGGUUUUCUAACCAAUAUCAAUAAGAGUGACAAUUACCAAUGAUCAAGAAGUAGCUGCACUGACACGUAUAUAUAUUAAAUAAACCAAUGAUGCAACGACUGCAAAAAUGUAAAUGAGUUGGCUUUCCAUAGAAAUAACACCAUACAAUGUACAGAAGAACACAUAAGAAAUGACUUGCUCCCCUCAAUGUUUCGCAAAACAAGAUAUUCUCCUCCAGCAGUGAAUGCAGGAAAGUCAAAAAAAUACUAGACCUAUGAUGCCGUGCACGUUUAUUGCAAUGUUUCCGAGUAUGAACAGAUUAGUUUAGUUAAUCCAGUUGCACCAGGAAGAUGAGAGUUCCAGACUCCAAACAGCUGCAUCAAGAUUUGGUUCAAAAGACUCGUUGUUCAAUCGAUGAAAAAAAACCGUGAAAAACAAUCGCAAGAAAGCUUUGUAAUCCAGCAGCUUAGGCAUUUACAGCCACUGGAACUGAUCUAUAGCAGGUCCUCUUUGCUGCACGUACAAUAUCGUCAACCUGUUUGGAGGGAACCCCCAAGUAAAAGCACGCAGAUAGAUAAUGACGAAUUUCAGAAAGUAGACUUACUAAAAGACAAUGUAGAGACAUAGCUUAAAAAAAAUAAAAGUAUGCCAAGCAGAAGUCAGUACCACUUGAAACACCCUGUUCAUUGUGGAGUUGAAUAUUACAUAUACAACGCACAACACAAAAAACAAGGUGAUUAUUUUGUCAUCCUUUUAUUUUCUUUUUGAUGUUAAGACUUCUCACUUUCAUCUUUAAUGUCUGAUUCUUUUACACAAGCAUAUAUUCAAUCCAUUCUGUAUGUGGAAGUGUGAAUGACGUCUACAACUGUUUCUUCCCUUUAAAGCAUGCAUAACCCAUAGUAACCUCUGAAGUUUUAGCUAAAAAAUGUGAAGCUGCAAAAGGAGAAAGAAGUUCAGAAAGAACAAACCUGUGGGACAGCCAUUCUCUCAAGAUUGGCUGCGUAAGGCAUGGGAACAUCAGCCCCUGUAAUUCUUUCAACAGGUGCAUCAAGAUACUCAAAGCUCUCCUCAACAAUAGAUGCACUGAUGAAAUGGACAAUGAGAUAAUUAAACACAUAUCAAGAAAAGAGAAGUAGAUGCACAAUAGAAAGGUUUGAAAGAAAGAUAACAAAAAAGAAAAUCAACCAGAUCUCAGCCCCAACACCAUGUUGUGGAAACCCUUCUUCAACAGUCACAAGCCUGUUCGUUUUCCUAACAGAAGUAUUGAUUGUGGCUCUAUCAAGUGGCCGGAUUGAGCGCAAAUUUAUAACCUGCAAUUUGAAAGAACAAAACUUUUAACACAACAAAGUACAUUUUCGUCUUGUUACCACACUGCUUAUUAGAAUAUGGAAGAACUUGCAAUUUUAAUGUACCUCAGCACUGACUCCCUCCUUUGCCAGAAUCUCAGCAGCCUACAGAUCAUUACCUUAGGAUUUCAGUAGGUGGAUAUACAAUUGAAAUUAAAAACUCAUCAUUUUACAGAAAGUAUGGGCAAAUCGUACAAUAUCUGAAAAAACAAAGGGUCUGUUUAAAUUGGAAGCUUUUCCCAAAACACAUCUAAAAACACUUCAAAUACCAUCUCAUAAACACCUACCAAAAACACUCAUAACAAAAAAAAAAAAAAAAAAACUGCCACCUCUUAUUCUUCUCCACCCACCACCACCAUCUCUCCUCUCCUCUCCUCUCCCCUCCUUCCCCACCACCACCCCACCCUCCUCUCUCUAGCACCAAUGCCAAUGCCUCGACCAGCAACACCUCCACCACCUGCACCACUACCUACUCUUCCCCCCUCCUCCUCUCUCCUUCCUCCUCCUUUUCCCCUUCCUUCCCCUCCCUGCCCGUGGCCAGAUUUGGUUGCGAUGACCAGAUUUGGUCGUGACCAGUCUAAGAGGAAGAGGGAGGAGAAAGGAGGGGAGUGGAGGUGGUGGUGGGGUAGUGCUGCAGCCUGCUGAUGGUGGCUAGGGGAGGGGGGAUGGAGAGGGGGUGGGAGGUGGUUUUGAGGUAGGGAGGAAAAUUUUGAAAAUACCCCAAUAAAAUUUUAAAUUUUAGAAACACCCCCAAUAUACAUCUACAGUGAGUUUUUAAUAUACAAAGCUACAUUAAAGUUUUCACAAAACACCCGUAAAAACACCUAAUCCAUACAGACCCUCAAAAGAUAUCUCGUUUCUUCUUCAACUUUUCUGUCAUGAAAGUUUAAUAAUCACACCCAAAAAAAAAAAAAAAUCAAAAUUUGGUACAGACCAUGAAAUACUAAUACUAAAGAAUAUCACCACAAAAAAUGGUGAAUGAACAGCUUGACAAAACCUAAAGAGAAACUGCCCACCAUGUGGCACAUAUGGUCAUCUUAAUCUUAAUUAUCUUGUCAACUAUCUGCAGACUGACAAUUGACUAAUGAAAAGUUGAUUUUAACCCUCAAACCACUAACAAUAGGGAAAAAAAAUAAAAAUAUACCAGAAGGGCAUGGACACUGAACUACUGUUGAGCAUCUUUUAUGCUAAUUCCCUCAGGAAUGUGUUGUAUACAGUAUAUAUAGAUCAAAUUUCUGUAAUUAUAUGUGUACUUGCAGUAGUUGAAAGUUCUUGAGUGCUUCCUUGAUAAGGUCAUUUUACUUAUCAAAAGAAUAUAAAUAUACCUACUCUCAAUAUACAACUUAAUUGAUGCCAUAACAAAAAUUUACCCAUCUGAAUCAAGACUACUUCCUAAACUGAGUUUUAUACAGAUGUCAACAACACUACUCCAUUAGGUUUCUUUAGACAAAGGCCCAAGGUUCAUCAAAAUUGAAUCAUCUCUACACGAAAGCUACUACUUGGCUUUAACUUGUAGAAUGAGGUCAAUCACUCAGACAGACAAAAUGUUGACAUUGAAGAGAAUAACAAACCUGAAGAGCAUAGCCAACCAUUUUCGAGAAAGCAACAAUAGUCACGUCCUUUCCUUCACGCUCUAUCUGCCAAUGACAGCACAGUGAAAUGAUUGCAUUGCUGGAAACAAGGAACACAAAACUACUAGAAGAAAUACCUUAGCUUUCCCAAUUGGAAGACAGAAGCUGGAAUCAAGGGCCUCUGCCGAAAUAGGGAAAGACUCACCAUACCUGUGACACGCAAGUGAUUCCACACAAUAUGAAUGUUGCCAUGUAAAGUGCAGCAAUUUUCACUAACAAAAUCACCAUACUCAAAACUCUCAGAUAUUACUUACAGCAAUUCAUUUUCAAGGAAAACAACAGGAUCCGGGUCUCUUAUGGCAGCUUUUAACAGGCCACGAGCAUCCUCUGAGUUGUAUGGCACAAGUACCUUCAACCCCGGACAUGAAGCAUACCAUGCUGCAUAGCACUGCAAAAAGGUAUAAACUUGAGCUGUACAAACAAGUGCUGUUUCUGCAUCAUGUGAUGUGAACAUUCCCAGUAAAUUUACCGCCUCAACUAAUGAGUCAACAGACUGGAAUACAUUGUUAAUAGGCAUCUAUCAAGCACUAGGUCCAGAAACUUCAUGGCACAAUGUCUAGAUUUUCUAAAAUCUUUAUGCUCUCCCUUGGAGCAUAAGAACGAUUUCUUCCUAUAAUUCCAGAUCGAAAGAUAUUUAUAAAAUGACUUAGGAACUAAAACAGGACUCACUAGAACAGGGUUUAGGAUCCAUCUAUUUCAAUUUUCAGGAAUUCACAUUAUUGACAAAAAAUGUCAUUUUAAAAAGGAGAAUUCUUGAGCUUAAAUGCUCCAUAUAUCUGGAAAGGAGCAUUACUCUCUAUCCACUUUUAAAAUUUAGCUAUAUUAAUCAUGAAUUCAAAAACAUCAAGGCUAACUAGAUUACUUCCUCAAUUUUCAUAGUAAGCAUCAGGAUAGUUUGACCCAUCCUUACUUACAAAACCCUUUAUUCACUAAGGUCUACUCAGAUCAAAAAGUUUCUACGUUUAGCUGCUCUCACUUCUAGCAUUCAACAUCUCGUAAGUUUUUUUUAAUCAUCUUUAUUCUGUUCCUUUAAUAUCUCACCAACAUUAUGACCAAAAAACAAAAAAUAAAUUAAAUUCCACCAGUCUCAAUAGCCACAAGAAACCUGUCAAGUGAUGCAUUUGCGUUUCCCUUGCUAUUAGUAAAAUUAUCAACCUUAAACAACAAAGCUAUGACUCUGAAUCUCACAACACAGCCAUGGAAUGAGAAUUUGACAAUUGAAAACUUACCUGGGAAUGCUGGGCACCAACUCCAGCAGCAGCUCCAUUUGGACCCCUGAAAACAAUAGGCACUGAAAUCUGACCAGAAGACAUAUAGUUUGAUUUUGCUGCAGAAUUGAUGAUGUGGUCAAUUGCCUGCAAACAUUCCCAGCAGAAAUCUCUUAUUAGAUAAGUUAUACAGAUCAAGCUACAUAUGCCUCAUAAAUCCUCCAUCUUGCGUACCCUCAAUAGCACUUUCAAAAAAUUCAUAAGACCAAUGAGUUUGUUAAAAGGAAAUAUAAGAUUAUUUUAAACCCUUUGCACACGCAAGACACAAAAACGCUAGGCUAUUUACACUGCUGAAGGCUAGGGGCUUAUUCCUUUACCAUCCUUAAAGGACCAAUAUCAUAAAAGGAAAAUGAUCCAUCAACCAGAAUGAAGCCUCCUUUAUAUGUUGAAAUAGAAGAGAACAAGAAAGUAAUUUACCCCAUGGCAGAUAGACAUCUAGUUCUAAACUACACUAGAGCAUAUAUCCAAAUCUAUCACUAAAGUCAAGGAUAACUAACUUGUUUUCCCCAGCAAAAGGGAAAUCCUGAGAACAUCCCAAAAGAUAGACAAUGCCUUUUUAGCACAGCAUUGAAUCAGUCUCUAGCUAAAAAUGUAGUGCAGUUCCGCCCAGCCAUAAAUGAUAGAUCCAUUAUAUUAUACAGCAAAUGGUAUCAAUAAUGAAAAACUUAAGACCAGCAUAAUCUUCAAAAGACCAUACUAAUGAAUCAACUAACCAUCAUAGCUGCUGCUAUUCUAAAAGCUUGAACAUCAUGAAUCACAAAACAAAAGAUAUUACACAUUAUGUAGAUAGGAAGCCCAAACGUGUGUAAGUUGGCAAUUAUUUCACAUAAGACUUGAAGGUAAACUACAACACUAUUAAAAACGCGAAAAAAUGAUGACACAAACCAAGUUAUCAGCACAAGGCCCAAAUAUGCCUUCAAAAGGACAAGAAAUAGUAUCAAAAUGUACAAAGAAAAGAAGUUUGACCUGCAUUGAAAAGUUAAAAGUCAUGAACUCUACAACAGGCCUCAAACCAUGGUAGGCUGCACCAACAGCCAUUCCUGUAAAACCAGCCUAAAACAAAUAUCACACCAUUAGACAAUACCUUCUUCCCUCUCAGUCAACAGAAAAAAAGUUUUAUGUCAUUAAAUGAUUCAAGAACAAGAAUCAACCUCAGUAAUAGGAGUAUCGAUAACUCUCUUAGGACCAUACUUGUCCAGAAGCCCCUUAGAAACCUAGACACCAAGAAACAUUAAACCAUUGAUAAUGUUAGACAAAUGAUCAAAAAGAAAACAUGGCCAAAUUUCGAAACCAAUGUAAUCACCAAGCCCGCAUGUCAAUGAGUUUCUCUAACCUUGUAUGCACCUUGAUAUUCACCAACCUGAUUUCACAAAAAAAAAAAAAAAACUAGUUAACAACCAUGAACUUAUUCACCACUAAAAAGCUAAACUAAACAAUCUAGAAUAGCUUUAAAAAUAGAUAAUAAAGGCAAAAUGGGACUAUUAUACCUCUUCACCCAUUAACAAAACAGAAGGAUCUGCAGACAUUUCCUCAUCUAGUGCAGAAUUUAAAGCAUCCCUUACUGUCAUCUAUAAAAGGCCAAUAAUUAAUUUUGUACACGAAAGUCAAAUAUUGGAAACAAUUUGUUAUCCAAAAGUUAGUAUAAAAAUUGUACAAACAAAAGAAACAGAUAUCAACAUUAAAAGCUUAAUCACCUCUUUUCCUCCAGCAGAAGAGGAAUAAGUCCUGGAUGCAAUUACACGAAUUCCCUUCAAAAAUUAAAGUUCCCAAAUUAAAAAACAAGAAAAAAAAAGAGCCAAUAAUAUUACCGCAAAAAAAAAGGGAUUUUUUAAGCAUUUGGUACCCAAGCGGGAAUUCCUCCAGGUGCGAUUAUUUUCCUUAAAAUUGCCGACAUAUUCUCUUCUUCUUUUUAUUCAACUCACAGAAAUAAUCCUAGGCAGAAUCACAAAUACAACAUUAAUCAACAACUCCAUCAAAAGCAAUGCCAGAAAAACACGAACCAGGUGGAAAAAUAAACAAAAGAAGAGAUUUUUCAGACCUCGAUCCCGAUAGGAGGGUAUAAAUACGUUAAAAAAGAAACAGGUUCGUCGUCUUUUACCUCAGCUGGAAGAACAAAUCGUUAGUGAGAAAAGGAAGAAAGGCAAUGGACUCCUGAUUGGUGAAUUGCUGAUGAUGGGCGAGGGAUGGUGGAAUCGGUGUUAGGUGGUGUUUGGGAGGCUUCGACUUUUUUCGCCUACCAAUAUUUUAUUUAUUAUUAUUAUUAUUAUUUUGGGUAAAAAACAAAAAAAUCCUCUUGACAAAUCUAAUAUACGGAAAAACCUCCGUAGUUUUAAAACGUAUAACAUGACAUCUCAUAUUUUGAAUAAAAUUAUAAAAAUGACGAAAUCUGUUAAAUUUAACGAAAAUGACUUAUUGGAAUCUAAAAAAAAAUUUUAUACCUAAUUUUUAACAAAUAUACCUAUUCUACCCCUUAACCCUCAAUUCUCUCUCUGUAGAAAAUAAAACAAAAUGAUUUUAUUGUGCUGUCUUUUGCUUAAUUAUAUCAGGGCAUUUUUGUUAUUUUCUCCAUUUCCGUUAAAUUUAACGAAUUCCGUCACCUUUACAAUUUAAUCAAAACACGAGGUGUUGUAUUAUACGUUUUAAAAUCGCGAAGAAUUUUUCUGUAUAUUAGAUUUAUUACGAGAGAUUUUUUUGUUUUUUACCUUAUUAUUUUUUGUAUGGGCACUCUCAAGUGAUAAUUUAAAAAUAGUUGAAAACGUACCUCGUAUAAGCCAAAUGAAUUUUUUUGUCCUUUAUUUUUAAAAUAGUAAUUUUUCGUCCCUUAAAAAAUCAAAUUGGUAAGAUUUAGUUCCAAUCUAGGUUUUUUAUUUUAUUUUUAUCUUGAAUCAAUCACCUAACCCAUACAUGAUCCCUUUUUGAUGUAAAAAGAUUAAAUCUCAAUUGUAGUUAAACAAAAUCAUACUCAAUUUUGCCCCUAAAAAAAGUAAGAUUUGACUUGAAUCAUAAUCGCUUCUCUUCUAAAAAGUGGGAUCUAAUCUACUUCAUAUUCAUUUUUACCUCUAAAAAUAGUGGAAUUUGAUUUUUUGUACAGAAAAAAUUAGUACAUAUGGAUUACGUGAUAAUUUUAAAGUAAAAAAUGGUUGAAAACUUAGAUUAAUACAAAUUUUUGUUAAAAUGAAUUUGAAAGAGAUAUAAAAUUAACAUUUUAAAAGUGAAUGACCACAAAAAAUUAUUUGACAAAAUAUAAAAAAUGUUUUGAACAAUUUUUCCUUAAAAAAUCUAAAGGGAAUUUUGAAUGCAAUGUUUGAAGGAGGCCCAAAGGGCCUGAGCCUAAAUGUGACUUUUGUUAUUUUCUUAUGCACCGUUUGGAUUGAGAAAAAGGGAAAAUGAAAGGAGACGGCUCUAGUGCAAAAGAUAGCAAAUGAAAGUAAAUAAAAACGGAUCCCAUCCAUUUUAUUUGGAUUAAAUACGAAAGAAAAAGAAAUGAAGCAUUAAAAACAUUGUUUGAAUUAGAUAAGGAAAGAAAAUCGCUACUUAUUGAUUACGAUUUUAUCCAUAGUUUGAAGAGUUUAUUGCCAAAAUAAUUACCCUUCAAAAACAUAUACCCAAAGUAAUUUAAUUUUAAAAUUUAUUACCAUUAUAUUCUUUUUUUACCAUAUAGGCUGCACAUAUGCUAGGAUAGAAAUAGAGGCACACUUUCUUUUUUUCAUCUAAUAUCUUCCAUGAUUCUCUCUCACUCUGAAUCUACCCACACUUCUUUUCCUUUCGUUAUCUUUCUCUUAUCAAACAUAAUUCUGAGAAGCCAAUAUUUAUAUUAACAAUAUCUAAAACUUCAGUAUCAUACUUAAUAUUGUUUCGGUAGAUGAAAAAAUUAUUCUAAAAUCAAUAAUCUCAAGAUAAACAUAGAUUAUUCUCGUCUUUUCUAUUGUGAAGCUUAUGGAACAUUUCUAUGGCCUCCAAAAAAUGGCCAUGAAUGGUAAAGAAAAAUGACGAGAAAGUGGUUACUUUUGAUUGGUGAAGCUUGAAGUGCAAAGUAUUGGUUCAAAUAUUUCAACUCUACUUGCAAUUGGAUCACCUAUCCAUCUUGGAAAUUUUUUAUAGUUAUACUAUGAUUGAGUGUUUUUUCAAGUCACCGUACUCUACUUAGAGAUAAAGAAGAGACGUAUACUUAUUUGUCUUCUUGGUUCUCAUAAAGUAUAACUUUUUGUUAUUUUUUUUGGUUUGUCACCUAUUUGAAUGAUUGCCAACUUAUUUGAAACUUGUUUUUAGAACCUCAUUAACUAAUUCCAUCUUGAUUUUCUUUCAUAUUCUGAAAUUAUGGUUCCUGACUAGCUAGGAAAUUGUGCAAAUCAUUAAGUAAGAGUGGCAGGGAAAAAAAAUAUAAAGGUAAAACAUCAGGAACAAUGCUGGAAAAUAUUCAAUUGGAACUAGAGAAGAAAAUUUCAGCAUGUUUACUUUUUGUAAAAGUUCUUUUCAAGGAUUAGAAAGGAUAACAUAACUAGGGAUGACAACGGGGUGGGGGACCCCCUCCCCCAUCUCCCGCCCCGCUGCUGCAUACAAACUCCCCCCGCCCCCACCCCUGCUCCCCCUGCCCCAUCCCCGCCUCGCUUCGCUUCCUCCGCGGGGCUAAUAAAAAUUUGUUAUAUAAUUUUAUUACAGUUAAAUUUUAGCAAAUAAUCAAGUACUAAAAUAUCAAUACAUCAUUAAAUUAUUAUUUAUUGUAAUUUUACAAUUGAAACAUAUAAAAGCAAUCAAACAAAAAUUAUUUAAAUACAAUCCAACAUAAUGAAAUAAAUAUAACUAAAUUAGUCAAGUUUUCACUUGUGACACAAAUACAAUCAUUAAUUCAUUAUUGUGCUUCUGCUUUUUUUAAGAAAAAAAUGUUAUUGUAUUAAGUGUAAUUAGGGAUUUAGUAUAAAUGUAUUAGUAAAUUUAGUAUAACCAAUUAAUAAUUUGUAUUAGUACACAUAUAUAAUUAUUAGUAUAAUUAAUAAUAUCAAUUAUAUUAUAUAUACUAAUAGACAUCAUAUAAUACAUAUAACUAAUAAUAUCAUUAUCAUAAAAAAUUAUAUGCAAUAGGUUUGAUUCAUUUCAAAAAAAAAAUGUAGAGACCGAUAAUUGCAAGGUCAAUAAUGGUAGAAUUUAUUUUAAAUAAUUAUAAGGAAAUUAUCAAAAUUAUGCUAUCUUCUAGUGCCUCUAUAAUAAAAAAAUUUUAAUUUUUAGUUCAUGAUAAAAACUAUAGAGUAGAUUAAAACUUUCUUUUCUUAUUAUCCUACAUGGUAAUCAGGAUAAUUAGGUGGUAACAAUAACAUCAUUAUAGGAAUAAAAUUUGAAAGUGAAUCAAAUUGGAAAUAUUUUUUUAAAAAUGUCUUAUUUUGGCAAAAAAACUCUAGUUUGAAAGUGUAAUUUGUAAGCAUGUAAGUUUUUUUUAGGAAAUCUUAAAAUUUUGUUAAUCUUUUUUUCCUUUCUUUCCAUUUCCAUUUACUUUUGGACACAAAGGAGGUUGACAAAAAAUAAUUAGAUUGUAUCACCCUCUAUCCCUCUCUAACCUUUCCUUUCCCGCGUCAAAAAACAAUCUAAACAUACAUACAUACAUAUAUGAGUAAACCUUAUAUACUCUGACAGUGUAUAUACUAUCACGAUUAGAUACAUGAUACAUAUACAAAAUUUGAAUUUCAAAUUCGAAUUCGAAUUAUAUAUCAUUCAUCUAAUGAUGAAAGGAUACACGCUGUUAGUAUAUAAAAAAUUAAUUCAAAUAUAUAUAUAUACGUAUGUACAUACACGUGUAUGUAUAUAUAUGUGUGUGCACGUACACAAGGAGAUUCAAAAUAUAAUAUAAAAUAUAUAUACAUAUACAAAUUUAUAUAUAUACAUAUAUACAAGGAGACACACACACAUAUACAUAAUAUAAAAUUUACAAGGAGAUUGAAAAUUUUUUGGUUCUGUUUUUGGUUCAGGAAAAGACUCUAAACUUUAUAGCGAGAAAGAAGAGAAUUUGAUAAUUGAACCAUAAAUAAUGAGAGGUUUGGAGAACUAAACCAAAAACUUUGUGGUCAGCUGAUUAAGGGCCAUUCUUUGUGCCAACUAAAUUGGGCCUUCGGGACUAGAGAUUGCUUCUUAUGCAAUGUUUUCAACCAAAAAAAAAAAAAAAAAAUCUUAUGCGAUUUUCAUUAAAGGCCGAAGCAAUAUUGUAACUUUUGUAUUUUACCUUAAGGCAUCCACAAUGAAUUAUAUUAAGUAAAGUGUAAUACAUAUGCCAUAACAUCUUUUAUUACAUCUCUCACUUUCACUAUAGAUUACACUCUAUUAUAAAGUAUAACAACAUGGAUUCACAAUGAAAUCACAUAUUUAUUUUAAUAAUUCACAAUACAUAUUCCAUAAAAUUUAAUGUUUUUAAAUUUGUCAAUGGAUCCACAACCAGUCUAUUAUGUAUAUAAUGGCCAUGAUAUGUAUCAUGACUAUUACACUGCCACUAUGGGAGGGUAUAAUGGUUGGAUGUAAUAAAGGCUAUUAAUUUUUUAAAAAAAAUUUUUUUGCAUUUUUUUCUUCUUUGGUUUCAAGAUGUGUUCCAAAUUCUAAUAGCGUGAUGUUUAUUUUUCUUGACAAACGAUAGCAUAAGGCUCAAAAGCAAAUGUUUGGAUGUAAUAGAUUAAACGCUUCAGAAUUCUCCCAAUUUUGUCAACUAAUCUCUUAUUUGCCAAACAAAGGAGUUAUUGUUUCCAUUUUGACAUUUGGUUUUUAGACCCCGUUUGAGGUUGCGGUGCUUGUGAUAAAAAAGUAUAUUUAGGUGCUAAAAAUACUUUUAAAGUGUUUGGUAAAUAUCAUCCCAUAAAAUUAAGAGUAAAGUUUUGGUGUUAAAAACACUUUUAGCAUUUAGCAAAAGCUCAAAUUGGUGCUUUUAGAAUAACUUUUGUGAUUUAAAAAAUAAAAUAUCAAAUUUAAUCAUUUUGUCUUAUAUUAUGAACUAAAUAAAAAGAUAAACACUUUUAAAAAUUUUUAAAUUACACAUUAUCCAAUACAAUAAUUAUUUAUUACACUAUAUCUCCAAACAAUAUAUUUAAAAGCAUUUAAGCAGUUAAUAAGUACUUUUAUUAAAAACUGUACUAAGAAAGUACUUUCCAAUAAGUUACCCUAAUUUCAAAUUGGCCCUUAUUUUAAUUUUUUUAAAAUAUUUCUUGAUGUGAAUCGUUAUAUUCUUUAUUUAAAAAAUGAAAGUAAUUGUUAUACUACAAGAGCUCGAUCUAGGCUCAACAUGUUGUUUGACCUUACUUGGACUAAGGUCAAAUAAGCUAAAGUUAUAUCUAAUCACGUUUGAGCUAUACAAUACUCUGUCUCGAUUCAGCUUGGUGAUACCUCUACACUUCAUAUUAAUGAGCAAAUCAUUAAAUGUUUACGUUAACAAAAUUUUGAAGAAUAUUGAUGACUAGUUCAGUGAUGAUGGUAUUUUCUUAGACUUGAAAUCUAUUAACGAAGUUUAAUUAUUUUGUUGUUCAAUAAAAUAAAUAAAAUCCCUAAGCUUACUUUAGUUCAAACUUAUCCGGAAGAUGGCAGCUAAAUACCCUUAGCCCCCUCCAAUAAUCAGGGUAUCGUUUUGUCUCAAUGUUAAUUAAUGGCAUUUUCCUUGUUCGGGUAACAUCGAGUGUUAACUCAAACUUGUUACUGUGAGACCCUUAUACAGGCCAUAGAGCAAGGUUUGUUAUUUAAUGAUCUUUUCCAAAAGAGCAAGAAAGAAAGAAAGGGAGUAAGGUGAGGGUGUGGGAGGGGGGAGGGGGUGGAUGGGGCUCUCUUCCCAAAUCUAUUGGAUGUGGGUUCUUCAACCUGAGUUUAAGGUCCAUAUGGUUCUCGUUCAGUUACCAAUUGAUUGGAUAUGGGUUUCUUGUAGUCCCCUUAGAUUACUGUUAAUUGGGUCCUCUAACCGUUAAUCUUCUGAGUGUUUCUAAUCUAAUUGGAUGUGUGUGUUUCUAUUUCUCGACAGAAAAAAAAAAAAAAAAAGGGAGUAAGAUCUCAAAAGUUUGUGAGAAUGAAUACAUUAAUUCAACAAUCAACCCCCACCUAACUCUUCUAUCCUUGAAUAAAAGUUUAAAGAUAUCAUUAAGGUUGUUAGGCUUUUUAUGAAUGCAUUAAGAUCUCUCCCUCUUUUCUUUAGGCUUCUCUAUGCAUUUAAUUACAACGUUCUAAAAGUCUAGGAUUAUCCAUCCUGAUUUUGGUUUAUUUAUUUUCCAUUUUUUUACCUAUAUAAAUAUUGCAAAUAACUGAACCAUGAAUUCAGUUAAGAAGACUAAAGGGGCGGAAGGGAAACAACCGAUUAUUGAGUAUAAUCAAAGAAUCAUCUCACAAACCUAAACCUCACCUCACGAGGUUUUUAACAAUUUCACUAACCACCGUUGAGAGUUUAGAAAUUACAUCCACUUCUAAUGUCUAUUAAUUAAAAAUAAUAAUAUUCGCCUUUAAAAUAACGCUGUAAUGAAACUCUUUCUUUGAUGUCUAUUAUUCUUUCCUUUUCUUUUUCUAUUCUUAUUCUUUCCUUUUAUAUUUUGCAAGUACAACUAUGAAACUAUCAACACUGUCCUAAGCCUUCAUCAUAACCAAAUGUCGAACUAGUCAUCUUUUUUGACAAGAUAACAUUGGAUGUGAUCUUUUUUUUUUUUUUUGCUAUUUUUGUUUUGAUAAAAAAAUAAUAACUCCAAUUGCAAUAGUUCAAAAUCACUAUCAAACUAUGGUAAUUCUACCACUACAAAGAUCCAUAAACUCUAAAAAUUUUAUCGUAACACUUUCUUAUUGUAGUAGAUAUCUAUAUUCUCAAUAAAGCAACUUCAAAAUGUUUCCUAUCUUAGUAAUAGGAUUAGCAUCAUAGUUUCUUAUCAAAUGAUAUAAGUACGAAAAAUUUGACACAUGUUCUUUAUAAUUGUGCAAAAUUAUUUUACAAUUGUUUAGAAAAGAAAAUUCAGCUUUUAUUAUAUGAAUAUCUUUCUCUUUUUAUUAAAAUUUUAAUAUAUGAAUCUAUUUUAGGGUAUUCAUUUAAAUUUUUUUGACCAAGUUGAGGAGAUUUUGAGGUUCAGUUCUUAAACCUAUCAAAUCAGGAAAAGUAGGUAUAAUCUUUGAAACCUUGAAGAAACUCAAUGAAAAUGUUAGAAAGCUCAAGAGAGGUUUCUUAAAUUAUCCCUAUAAUCAAAAUUUACACAAAAAUUGACAAAAAGUGUGCAUAUAACUUUUUUGUAUUUAUUGAUGUAAAAUAUCUAUAAAUAUUAUUACUUAAAAAAGUUAUCAUUACAUACUAAUAAAGCUUGAAUUUGGGCUUCCUGUAUUGUCGAACUUACUUGAGUCAAGAUCCGCCAGGCUAGUUAUGCUGAUUAGAGUUCAAGCAUUGCAUUAUGCAUUAUGCAUUAUGCAAUGUCAAUCUUCGAAGAAGAAAAGCGAUACUGAAAGUAGGGGUGCAGAGAAUUCGAGUAGCUUGAAUCGAGCUCGCGAGUAGCUUGGUUAGCUACUCGAAUCGAGCUCGAGCAAAUUCGAGCUCGAGGCGAUUUCGAGCUACUUGCUACAGUAAACGAGUCGAGUUCGAGUAAUUAAUGGCAAGAAAUUUUAACUCGUCGAGUAGCUCGAGCUUGGUGGCCUAUUUGUAUAUUUUAUAUAUCAAUUUACUCUUUUAGGUUUGUUAGUUAGAAUAUUUACGGGCUUAACCAGUUAUGUUGUAAUAAUAAUGAAGGGUGAAUAAGUAAUUUUGGCUCGUAAACUAAAAGCGAUGAAAUGCAUUGCAAACUCUGUCCUUCAUUUGCCUUCUUCGUUCCUCUUCAGUCUUCAGAGUUCAGCUUACCUCUCAAAUCCCAAUCUCAGUCUUUGGCUCAUCUUCUCAAAUCUCAAUUGUCACUCAAAAAAAUUGGGGGCUGCUGCUGCUGCAAUACUUGUAAUGGUUUCUGAGCUCUUGAGUCUUGACUUAGAGGAAGCUCUUGAGUCUUGCGCGCUGCUGGCGCACGCCGUGGAGGAGAGGGCGUCGCGCGUUGGCAGAUGACUGCGCGCCGUGCGCAGCUGCUGCUGGACUGCUGCGGCUGAGUUGCUGCUCGAUCUGCCUGGAGGUGAACUGGAGCGCAAGGGGCAGGCUGCUCGCAAGGGGGCGACUGCGGUUGAGUCGCGCAGGGGUUGCGUGAGAAGGAGCUGCUGGUGGCGAGGCGCGGCUGGGCAACAGGCGCGAUGGGCGGCAGUGUGGCGUGCGGCGAUCUGGCGGGGUGCAAAGUGGCGGCGGCGGACAAAGAGAAAAGAAGGAAGAAGAAGGAGAAAAAGAAAGAAAAGGAAGAAGAAAGAAAAGAAAGAAGAAGAAAAAGAGAGAAAGAGGGGAAGUAGGGCUGAUGUUGUUGUUGUUGCUGUUGUUGCUUCGAUCGGAUGCAUGUCAAGUUCGAGUACUCGACUCGAGCUCGAGCUCGAUAUGCAUUCAAGCUUGAUUGAGUCGAGUACGAUCUUACUCGUGCUUGUCUCGAGUCAAUCCCGAUCUUCAUUGCUCGAGCUCGAUUCGGCUCGAUUUCACCCCUAACUGAAAGAGAGAGAGAGAUGUACAUGUGCAAAAUGAUUGUUUUAGUUCUCACAGCAAAUGAAAUAUCAAGUAUUUUUAAAGGAUUUUCAGAUGUUAGUUUUUUUUUAAAAGCAUAAUUAAUUAGGAAAAGAUGUUAGUCUUUUGAAAAAAAUAUAAUUAAUUAGAAAAAGUGUCAGAAUUCAGGGGUGCAAUAACUUAGAUGUAAUUUAAAGAGACGCCUUUUAGAAAUAUCACUUGUUUUAUUAAGAGGCCUACUAGCUGUUUUUGUACAAUAUGUGAUUAAAUUUAACUAAAUUUGUCAAGAAGGAUUUACUUUAAUGGUUAAAAUGGAAACCCCAAAAAUUAGAAAUCUUGGAUUCGAAUAUUUGUUUUACAUGUCAUUGUUUGAGCUCAAGCUUCAAACUCAAGCGGAUAUUUGACCCAGAAGCUUGCAAGUCUCAGUUCAUUUAUACCUGUAGCACGGUGAUAUGCUCGAAUUGGUGAUUUAACGUGUACCAAUUUUUGAUGUAGGUAAAUUGAAAACUCAAUAAAAUAUAACAACAAAAUUAGGAUGAAUAAAGUUGGUCAACAUAUACUCCCGCGGUCCAUAAAGAUUGGCUGACUUUACUUUUGUGUAUGUCCCAAAUUAUACGCUUAUUUCCUUUUUUAAAGAAUAGUUAAUUUGUUAUUUUACUAAUAUACUCAUAUUUAAUGUACAUAGUUAUUACAAAUUUUUUUAAUAAACAUUAGUUGCCUUCUAUAUUGUUUGGCAAUUUUAUUUUUGUUAUUUAUUUUAGUCAAACAUGUAACAUUAAUUUGAUUGACUCUUGUAUUGAAAAACUAAAGUACCUUAAGUUCCUAGAAUAAUAUAGUAAUAUGAACCUGUUACUUUGAAUGAAUGAUCUAAUAUUAACAAGGGGUAUUUGAGGAAAGCAUGAACACAAAAAUAAUUAUUGUAACUAUGUUAGCUAAAUUUUUUAAUUUAUGUAAAAAAAAGAAAUAGGUCUAUCUUUACAGGACGGAGACAGUAAUUAAUGCAUAUAAAGUAAUCCCAACAAACUUUACGAGUUAUCUCAAACUCCUAUCCUAGGAUAGGAUGGAUGGAUGUAGUUGGUGGUUGAAUUGAUUUAUUUUGCUAAUGUCUCAUUUCCAUUUCAUCUUCAAGAAGACAUCAUUAAAAAGAACACGCCACUCUAUGUGGCCUGUAUAAAGGAUCCACAAGACAGAGUUUCAAGUACCCAACACUUGCAUUUGCACCCAUCAGUCUUGCAACAUGUCAAAAGUUCUUCUCCUCUGCUGCAUUCUUUCGCUCCUCUUUGUCAUGAAUCUUGGUACUUUUUCCUUUUCACUCUCUUCUCUCAAUCCUUGUUGUUAUGAAAAAGAAUAAUAGACAAAUGUACGCUGGAUUGGCAGAUAUGGCCAUCUUAAUUAGACUUGCUACACAUUGCCUCCCUGACAGAGAAAACUAGACCAGUUUUAAGUUACAUAUAUAAAACUGAAAUUUUCGCAUCGAAAAAACGAAAUCAAUGCAUAUGAUUAAAAAGAAAAGCAAAGAGGGUUGUUGGAUUAUGAGUUUUUUGUGAACUUAGAAUUUUUCUCACAUGUACAGCUGAAGAAGUCCCAAAUGCAGGAGGGUUGGAGGAUUCCAAAGUUACGGUAAAGCACCUUGGACUCAGAUUAAGCGUAGCGCAAUGUGUUAGAGAUUGCCACGCGAGGUGGCCAAACUCCACAGCGAGAUGUCCCAUUUUUCAUGGCCAUAUAUGCGCCUGCCUAUGCUAUGUCCCUUGACUCCCUUCUCUCUAAUUAUUAUUGUCAAUGAUAAUUUCCGUAAGCGAGAAGGCCUAUAUAAUAUGUAUGUGACUUCUCGGUUUUUAUACAGAAACUAUUACAUGCUAUGAAAACUUCUAUAUUCCAACAAACUUUACGAGCAAUAAUCUAUAUUCUUCGCUCCAAAAGUCAAAGAUUAAUCAUCCAACUGGACCAUCAUUAAUCCUAAAGGCAUGAAGAACAAUGACAAAUUUUAAAAGUUCUGAGAUCUAAUGGAAAUUUAGUAUUAGCUAUUCAAAAUUUGCUACGUGAUCAAAAAGAACGAUGGAAACGAGUUUGUUGGACCAUUAAUUUCCAAAUUGCUUGAAAUUUUUUAAACCCACAUAAUUUUAAACACUACAGAUGAUGAUUCAAGGCACAAAUAAGUUGAAAGGAAAAGGCAAAGUGGGUGUGAAUCUUGGACGUUAUAUAUGAAUCUUAGGUACAAGGAAAUGUAAUCCGGCACUACAAAACCAAUUUUGCAUCCUGCCAACUAAACAAAUAAUUAAAAUUAUAAAAGCGCAAAGUUUAAAACGUGUAUAUAUAGCAACUUUAUACAGACCUGAUUCUGCUAUGAAAUUUCUUAUAAUUGGUGAAUGAAUUGAAUAGUCAACAAAAUAAAGACACAGAAAUUUAAACAAAUUCGAGGUCAAAUAUAUCAUGCCUGAAGGUGUGAAUAAAAGGCUCAUUCUUCUACCCAAUAUCUACCUUAGUUGGUAGGAAUACUAGUACGUGAUCAUAAAAUUCUUCAUUCAACUUUUAAACUCAUUUUUUAGAAAAGGUUUGGAAUCUCCUCUUAAACUAAAAAACAAAGAAAAAAAAUGCUUAUCGUUUAGAUAUUGGAGGAAAAUUCACCGCAUUCAUAUUUGAAUUGUUGAGGCUUAAAUUAUUGAGUUUUAGUCUUUUCUUUGGGUUUCAAAAUUGUUAAGACAAUUAAUUGUCCUAUGGUACAAUAAUCAUGCCGUCCCAUCAACAACAAUUGCGUACCUCUCAAAAACACGAGAAAACAAAUCAUGCUUUAUCUUUUCCCAAGCCAAUCCGUUGUUCGAGGCAUUAUCGUCUCAAACAACUAAUUACUUGAUGGAUUUCUCUUUACGCCCAAAAAAAAAAAAAAAAAUCAAUCAAGAAAAAAGGGCUGAAGUUUUUUAUUCACAUUCAAUUAGGAAUCUGUUCACCACAUCUCAAGGCUGUCAAGUCCAUGAGUUCAUAUAGGACGUUAGAUAAUUUGGGUCAUUAGUAUUUACCUUCUAUGGGGAACUAUACAGCGUUUGCGGCCUCUCCGACUGCCGGAUAGAUCAAAUUAGCAGCGCACUUUUAUCGAUUUCAUCCCUUAUCCGACUUUCUCCUAAGGGCCAUAUAAAUGACAGCAGAAAUAGAAAAAUAACUAACUAGAAUUUGCCAAAGCGAAGCCAAAGUGCUCCAGUAUUGCAAGUAUAUAGUAGUACUAGUACUUUGUGAUUUUCAUGAUUGGUGGUUUUUGUAAUUUUGUAUGGCCUGACAACUUGACAAUUUUUUGCCUUGGCUUAUGGAUAGUGGAAAGAGCAAAUGGAAGAACUAUUCAACGAUCAAGAAAUUAGUGGUUUCUUUAUCUUUUGAAAGCAUUCCUCCAAAAUCUUCAAGAAUGGAGGGUGCUACAACCAUUUUUUCGUCGAAGAGUAAAUCAUGGCAUUGUGCUGGAUCAGCUGAAAAAUCCCAGCAAAAUCAUGCUGAGUACAAAACAAGGUAUAAGAUUGCCCCUAAAGGUUGUUUUUCAGUGUAUAUUCAAAUGGUAUAUGUUGGCCCUGCGAAACAAAGAUUUGUUAUCCACUGUUGAAGAUGCUGAAUUGGGAUAUGCAUAGAGCAAUGAAGGCCCUCUUUUGCUUCCAUGUGAUAUUGAUCUUUUUUGACAAGGUUUUGGCUGAGAUGGAUAGCGGGAAAGAGGCCAUGGUUGAUGAUUCUGAUUCAUCAGCUGGUGGUGGAUUUGCGUAUGGCUCCUGCAGUCCUUUUAGUCCGGCACGGGGUCUCCGAAAUGGCACCAUGUCUAAAUGUUAUAGUCCAUACGAACUUCUCACUCCACCCAGAUUGCUGAACAUCAAUUAGUACUUCUCAUUGCCUUUUCUAAGUUAUUCUGCCGUGUAGGUGUAGGAAUAAUGUCUUAUUUUAGGCUUUCUCAAUAAGUAUGGGAUGUGACAAAAUGAAACAUGAAGGGUUGAAUGCCGUGAAAAUUUAUUACUCAAGUGUUGAUUAACACCUUAUCUGCGUGCAUGUGUCCAAACUAGGGCUAUUUUGAAGUGUUUUCGAGGAAGAUAUGUUCUCAGGAAAAUAGACAUCCAGUAUCUCUCUUCUUGUCUGAAAUUUUUAACUGGAUUAUGAAUUGAGAUAAUUGUCAAAAAAGCUUCAUUUAGUCAUAUAAAGUUUGACUAAUAUCGCCAAAUUCAUAAUCUCACUCAAACUUUUGGGAUUUUGGUUUUCACAAAGAAAACCAGAAAAGAUUUUUCUCUUUUUAAUUAGAUACUUUGCUCCUCACUUUGUCAUCAGAAGUGCAUAAUACAUGUAUAAGUCGACUUAGUGAUUCUGCCUUGAAUGAUUGGAACUCCCAAAUAACGCCCAAUAUUUUAUUCAUCAAGGGAAAUUGAGUGCAUCGACUAAACUUUCUGGCAGUGGAUCUACUAAUAUUAGGGUGAGGCAUACAACUUAGAAUUUUCCAAAUUAAUUUUCUGGGCUGAUGUACCAUAGAAAAUCUCCAUAUAUGUUUGCCCUUUCCCUGGUUCCCACAUCGUUCGUGUUAGGUGUGUGUGAGUGGUACUUAAGGUGCUCAAGUAUACUCAGAAGUCAGCAAUUACCUUUUGGGUAUCCUUGUGGAGUUACCUUAGGUAACCGUUUGUGUAUUUUUGACAAAAAUGGUAGAAAAAAACCACCAGAGAGGAGAGAUGUGAGUGGUACUUAAGGUCCUCAAGGUCCUCAAGUAUAUAUCCUUGUGGAGUUAUCGUUUGUGUAUUUUUGACAAAAAUGGUAGAAAAAAACCACCAGAGAGGAGAGAUGUGAGUGGUACUUAAGGUCCUCAAGUAUACUCAGAAGUCAGUAAUUGCCUUUUGGAUAUCCUUGUGGAGUUAUCUUAGGUAACCGUUUGUGUAUUUCUGACAAAAAUGGUAGAAAAAAAGAGAUACAGUAUGUCUCAUAAUCUUUGUUUACGAGAUUGACGGUUCACCAAACAAGAUUAAAUCACCUUCAAGUAAUAUUGACUGACUUCCAAGAUUACUUGUUGAAUAGAGUCCCAAGAUUAAGUUGAUGAUGGAUUUUGGAAUAAAAUAGCCAAAUGCCACUCUUUGAAGCCUUCCAAGAUAGCUAAAUGCCACUAGAAAAACAAGCCGGCUCUUGUACUUCCACGGUUGGAAAAGUUGCAACAUCCUUGCAUUUCAAUUUGAUGAGCUAUAAAGCCUUUAGAUUUAGGUUAAUCAAGAAUCAAACUAGAAGGCUUAUACAUGAGAAUUAGGUAUGUCAAUUGAUAGGAUCUUUUCCAGAUGCAACCCAGAUCUAAUGUACUUGGAUAGAGUUUGAAUUUAAUUUCUUAAAUACAGAUCCUAUCUAAACCCAGACUGUAAAAAAGUUAUGGAUCUGGGUAAAGUCUGAUUUUGUGUGAUUCAUAUCCAAAUCCAAAUACAUACCAGGCCCAAUCUAAACCCAUGUAUAUAUAAUUAAAUUAUGUAUAUAUAUAUUAGUAAAUUUAUAAAAUAUUCUAAUAUUUUAUGGCCAUUGGAUCGAAUACAAUAAGAUUUCAUGAUUAUUUUCUUUUUUUCAAACAAAUCCUAGUUAUCAUUGUAAUUAGUACAAACUUUUUUAUAAAAAGGAGUCAAAGUAAAGGCAAAUAAAUGAAAGAUUGGACUUAGAUAUAAUUGAAAUUUAAAAAAUAAACCGAAGUAGUUAAUAAUAAUUAUUUUUUGAGUACAUAAUAUUGCAUCCAACUUCUUGAAUAUUAAUUUUAUUAUUUAAAAAUAAAAAUUGGAUGGUGUUUAUAUUUUUUAAAAUCUAUAUAUUUUUACUUUAGUAUAUUUAGGAAAAUAUAGCGAAUACCCAUUGGGUAUCCAAAUCCAUAAGAGUCUAGAUUUGGACUUAUUUUUUCAGACCCAUAAGGGUUUGGAUCUAGAUCUAAGUUUAACUAAAUUUAAUGGGUCUGAAUCUAGAUCAAAGGGAUGUAAUCUGAGCCCUACCCAUUGAUAUACCUAAUGAGUUUAAUGGACUUAUUUUUUCAAACCCAUAAGGAUCUGGAUUUGGAUCAAAUUUAACUAAAUUUAAUGGAUUUAGAUAUAGAUCAAAGGAAUACAAUCCAGAUUCUACCCAUUGACAUGACUAAUGAGAAUAAUAUAUCUUAGUAUAAAUUUCGUUAGACACGAUACAAAACAUUACAGAUAGUUGAGCAGGCUAAUUAUACCUCCAGUAAAUUUUUUCUAUUCCAUUUUUUUUUUGGAUAAUGUUAUUUACACCCCAUUAUGUUAUCUGCACUUCCGCUAUCCCAUUUUCAUCUUGACGAGACUAUAUUACUACUAUUUUAAUUUCUUUUCCUACCAUAUCUUGUGUUCACAUGUAAGGAAGUUCAGUACAAUUGUUGUACGUGUCCAAAAGGUAAAAAAAAAAAAAAAUUAACUUUUGCUUCUUUUUUUUCUACAUCUACAUAACUAUUUGUUUAAUUUUAUUUCAUAUUUUUAUUUUAAUUUCAAUUUUACAGAUUUUUUAUGAGCACAAUUGAGGUUUCAUUGCAUCAUCUAGUGACUAGAUGCUAUUAUGCUUUUGUUGGAAUAUACUAGAAAUGUUCAUUCCUUCUAUGGUGGUUAUAUGAGCUAUUCUUAGUAGGUUUUUCGAAGUAUUAAUAUCCUAUUUAUGAGACAUUAUAGUUACAUUCAAGUUUUGCUCAUCUUUGAUUAGGGGUGACAAUUCUUGACACGACUCGAAAAUAUGAUUCGAACCUAAUACUCAUCAUGAAUUCGGGUCAAAUUCAAAUCAAAUCCGAAUGACCCGCUAAGUAAAUAGGUCCAAUUCAGGUCAACUCACUGGUUGACCUAUUUGACCUGUUUAAUAUAUAAUUUUAUAAUCUAAUUAAUAAAUUAGAGGCAUAAAGUAAAUAAAAAAACUAACUAAGGCUAUAAAUUAGUAUUAUAAGAAUGGAAUCAUGAAUAUUAUGUGAAAAUAAGGUAUUUUAUUUGUGAAAGUGUCAUAAUUUUGUUUUUGUUCAUAUUUUUUUUGUAGAAAAAGAAAAAUAAAAAAUUACAACGAGAUUGGGUUGUAAUUUUAUAUAUUCUUAUGGAAACUCCAUUAUAAAAAAAAAUCCACCAUACUACCAAAUUGAGAAGGUUAAAAAAAAUAUUAAACAAAUAGGUUAUGCAAGUCAACUUCGGAUAACCCACAAACUAACGAGUCAUGUGGUCAAAAAAGUUGACCCAUUUAAAUUUUCGGGUCGGAUUUGGGUGGACGUCUUGGUAAGAAUACCUCAGUCUCAAUCCGACCCGUCAACCCACGAUCCGACCCGAUUGCCACCCCUAUCUUUGAUGCUUGAGAUUUUAUUUAUUUAUUUAUUUAUUUAUUUUGGGCUUGAAGUUUAGAAUCUAUUCAUAUUACAUUGUUAGAUUGAUCUUUGGCAUCUUAUAAUUUCGUGAAAUUUUGUAGAAAAAUACAUAAUACAUAUAAGUGACAAUUUUAAAUUAGUCAUUUUAAUGUGUAAUGGAAUAAUUAAUUUGUUUUAGAAUGUAAGAGAAAAUCUAGAAAAGUUAACUCAUAGGCAAGAAGAUGAAAUUAGAGAGGGGGUAAUGUGGUCUCGUUAAAAUAAAAAUGAGAUGGUAAGCGUGCAAAUAACAUUACCCUUUUUAAAUUUUUUUUGGCAUAGAUUAGUACCUAUGAUUAACAAAAUCUUCGUUUCAAUCCGGCCCAACUCCUCAUGUCUUGUUGGCUCGGUGGAUUGGGUCUGACCUAAUCAGGAAUCUUUCAACUGAUGCCAAUCCUAAUAACUCAUAAACUUUGUGAUUAAACUCUAAUAACUUUCAAGUUUCACAUAGCAUUAAUUGUUUGAGCUCAAGCUUUAAAGUUUAAAAUUCAAUCAUCACCGGGGUCAAGCUGAUCUCUAACGAAGAAGCUUGCAAGUUCUCAGUUCAUUUACAAUUACACCCCUAGUACAUUUGGUUGACCCAUAAUUAAUGCAUAUUGUGAAAAGCCUAACAAACUGUAUGAGUUAUCCCAAAUUUUAACAGAGAACAGAUUAAUGCAAUAAGUGUCCAAUUAAUGAAUUCUAAGAGACGCCUAAAGAUCUCAUUUCCAUUUUUUGUUUUGUGGAAAAGAUCAUUAAAUGAAACACACCACCACUACUUGGCCUGUAUAAAGGAUAUACAAGAACAAGUUUGAGCAGCCAACACUCGUAUUUGCACCCAUCUUUCCUCCAAAAUGUCAAAAAUUCUCAUCUUCUGUUGCAUUCUCUCCCUUCUCUUUGUCAUCAAUUUGGGUACUUUUUCUUUUCACUCUACCCUCUCAAUCCUUGUUAUGAUAAGAAAAAUAUGCACCAUAGUGAAAAAGAACGAAUAGUUGUUAUUCUGUGAAUUAGCAUAUAUUUAGCCAUACUAACCUAAAAUCUUUCUCACACUUUUUGCAGCCGAAGUGCCAAAUGCAGGAGGUUUUGGGGAUUCGAAAACUAGAAGAGUGAUUCUGGGAAAGAGAUCAAAUAAAGUAGUCUGUAUUAGAGAUUGCAGCAGACUGUAUCCAAACUCCACAGCCAAUUGUUUCAAGAUACGCUUUGGAAAAUGCCUCUGCUAUUGCUAUGUACCGGACAGCCCUUCUUCUCCUCACUAAUUUAUCCAUGUUAAUGUGUCUGAAUGAGGGCCUAUAUGUAACAUCACAGCUUUAAUAUAUAUCAGCAAUUCAAGGUUUAUUGGAUUAUAUUAUUGAAACAUUUUUAUCAGCAAUUCAAGAAAGCUUUAUGUGAACAACAUAAAACAUCUCUUUUCCAUUUAAUAAAUUUUUUGUUUAAAAAAAAAGUAGCAAAGCAGCGAAGAUAUAUAGUACAAAUACCAGCAAUUUUGAAGAAAUCUUGUUUAUUAUAAGAAUAAAUGCAAACUAAUUAUCUCACAAAUCGAAUGAAGAUUGUUACGAACAGAACCAAGAAAUUAUAGUCUAUUGAUCAGCUGUAAUUAUAACGUAAAAUAAAUAAGUAGCAAAAGACGAAUAAUAUUGUGAAUUAUUCACCCAUAACCUUUGUGAGAAAAUCUUACAUUUGGAAAAAAAAAUUUAACAUGCAGUCCAACUAACUAUCUAACACAAAUUCAAUAAAGAAAAUGAUGUUAUAGACAGAACACAAACAUUACAUCCUAGUGUUAAUUAAGCAGACUCAUAUCACUAUUUCUUGUUCACAACUUUUAAUGCGUUCCUCUUUUACAACUCUCAGUUAAUGCAAGUAUUUAGUGCCAGUAACUAACCUGCAGCUGAAAAUAAAUAACCAGUUAGCAUUUUCUUUUUAAUGCGUUUCAACUAAUUCUCAGAGUUUUGGUGACAAUUAAUGCUUCCAGCUGCAGGUUUACCCUGUAUGAUAUGCAAGGCAAAAGCCCUUGUCAAAGGUCAAAGGCACCAAUGCUGAUGAUUGAACAUCGUGGACAUGGGUACCUAAGAGUGCAAUAAAACCUGAACCAGGUGCCAUAAAAUUAGCCUUGUUAUCUGAAGGCAUUGUAUUGCUUCUAAUGCACGCAUAUUUAUUGCUUGUAUUGACCAUUAGUUGAUCGGAAUUAAGGUCAAUCGUCUGGAUACAGGAGGACCAUUCACCACAUUCACGAUUCAUGUUUUAAACGGUUGACAGCCUUACAUGAUUUGGCUAUAUAUAACCUUUUUUGGCUUUCAAAAUAGACAAAAAGUGCUAAGCUCUUCUUCAUUAAUUAUUCAGGAUGAUUAUCAGUCCCAUCAACAACAAUGUGUACCUUUUAAAGAGUACAAGAAAAACAAAUCACGCAACUUAAUUAUUUAGACUAAUCUUUUCCCAAGUCAAUUGGUGGUUCGAGAUUAUUGUCUCAAACAACUAAUUUCUUGAUGGAUUUCUCUCUUGCACAACAAGAAUAAUAGAGUCAAGAAAAAGGGCUCAAUUUUUUUUAUGGACAAAUUACACUUUACCCCCUGUUAUUUAGUGUUUAUUUACAUAACCUCCCCAUAGUUUCAAAAAUUAUACAUAUCUCCCUCAUAAUUUGGACUAAAAUGUCAAAGUAACGGAAUUUGCAAUCCAUAAUGGAGUCGACUAAAAUGUCAAAAAUACCCCUAUAUAAAGUUAAAAAUUAUUUAUUAACCACAUGGGGGUUAUAUAUAUAUAUAUAUCAUUAUAUUGAAAACCAUAAGGGAGUUAUAUGGUAAAGCACUAAACCAUAAGGGGGUUAUAUAGUAAAAUAUAAAACCAUAUGGGUUAGAGUGCCAUGCAUAUUAUAUUUAUAUAUUUUGGUCACUCCAACCGCAUUAAUUUUUAAAUAAGAGUAAUAUUGACAUUUUCAUAGGUUCCAUUAUGAAUAAUCAUUUCUAUCAAUUUGACACUUUAAUUCAAACCAUAAGGGAUUAUAUAUAGCUUUUAAAACUAUCGGGGGAUUAUGUUCAAACAGAUGGGUAAAGUGUAAUUUGCCCCUUUUUUAUUCACAUUCGAUUAGAUAUCUGCCCGCUACAUCAAGGCUGUCCUAGGUCCAUGAGUUGGUUGACAUUGGACGUUGUAUAGUUUGGUUCACUAGUAUUUAUAUUUGGUGCGGAAACCAUACCACGUAGUUGCCUAUUCUAUUUACAAAUUGCCCCAGUUAGCAACUUAACAACUGCACCUCAUCAAUUUCAUCCCUUAUGACAGUCAAGGUAGAGAAAUUAUAUACAAGAAUUUGUUGAAGCAAAGCCAAAGAACUCGAGUAUUGUAAGUAUGACGAUAUAAUAGUACUAGCAUUUUGUUAUUUUCGUGAUUUGUAUCUAUUGCUUUUGCCUGUAGCUGUUGGACGGACAAAUAAUGGACACUGGAAAGAGCAAAUGGAAGAACAAUUCAAUGAUCAAGAAAUUGGUGGUUUCUUUAUCACUUCAAAGCAUUCGGGCAAUACCUUCAAGAAUGGAGGGUGCUACUAUCAUUUCUUUGUCGAAGAGUAAAUCAUGGCAUUGUACUGGGGCAGCUGAAAAAUCUCAACAAAAUCAUGAUGAGUACAGAACAAGGUAUAAAGUUGCUCCUAAAGGUUGUUUUUCAGUGUAUGUUGGUCCUGAGAAACAAAGGUUUGUGAUCAAGGCAGAAUGUGCUAAUCAUCCAUUGUUCAAGAUGCUGCUUGAAGAUGCUGAAUUGGAGUAUGGGUAUAGCAAUGAAGGCCCUCUUUUGCUUCCAUGUGAUGUUGAUCUUUUUUACAAAGUCUUAGCUGAGAUGGAUUGUGGCAAGGAGGCCAUGGUUGAUGAUUCUGAUUCAUCAGCUGGUGGUGGAUUUCCAUGUGGCUCCUGCAGUCCUUUCGCUCCGGCACGGCGUCUUCCAGACGGCACCAUCUCUAGAGUUUAUAGUCCAUAUGGACUUCUCAGUUCUCACUCCACCCCGAUUGCUGAAGAUGAAUCACUUCUGAAUCGAACAAAUGUAUAGAUUCUAAUUAUUGCUUUGUCUAAGAGUUUUUUGACCAGUUAGAAAAGCAGAUUUGAUUAAAUAUGGUAUCAAGAAUUAUCAUAGACCUCAUGUAUUCUUUGAAUACCAGAUGAUAUAAUUUUGCUAAAUCAUGUCAUGAACAGCCCUAUAAUCUACCUUGACCGAUUGUAUCCAGUUACUAACCUUUGAUAUAGUAGCCCAGCAUUACUUAAUUCCUAGUACGGAAUAAAAAUACUUAGUUUCAACUCAAGUUUUUUUUAAAACAUUUUGACCAAUCCUUCAAAAAAAAAAAAAACAUUUUGACCAAUCGGCCGUUGAUAAAUGUUUUCAGGUGACUUAAAUGGAUAUGAUCUCUCAUGCUAGGAAUCACUUUCAUAUCAGUUAAUGUAAGAGGAAGGAAAUUCGUGCUGCUUUUGCCAAAAGCAUCCUGUCUAGCCAUUAUAUAACAUGGCCUUUUAAGUGCUGUAAGUAUGGACGAAAGGGAAACAUAGCAAGUCCAGCGAGAUCUGAGAAGUGAGGAAAUAUAAGUAGCCUAUAUAUUGUCUCGCAAAUGACUAAAGGAUUCCAUACCUGACAAAAUUACUAAUAGCUAGUUUGGGAGGAAGGAAAUGGAUAGAAAAGAAAGGGUUUGAAAGGAUAAUAAAUUCUUUCCAUCGUUUGAGAGCCAAAAAGAGAAGGAAAAGAAAGGAUUUGGACUUCCUUCACUUCUCUCUGUGUAUUGGAAAACUUUCCGCCCAAAGUUGGGCGGAAAAGGAAGGAAGGGACUGUGCUUUAAAUGAAAUUUUCAAUAUGACAAUAUUACCCUCAAAAUCAUGAUACAAAAAUUUUUAAUUCCGGAUGAGUCUCUCAGCUUACUUGAUUCACAUUUAUUUUCAAAAAGGGCAAUUUUGUAAAAUAACCUAUUUGAGCAUCUUUUCUUUUCAUCUGUUUUCAACUCCCAAACAAAAGAAAACCACUUACCUUCUUUUCUUUUUUAAAACUCCCAAACAACUUAGAUAGAAACUUAAAUCCUUUCCCACCCUUUCUUUUCUUUUCUAACUAACCCUUUCUCUUCUUUUCUUUUCUAUUCUAAACUCCCAAACUAGCUAUAAGCCAUUUCACUCCUGUGUAAAAUGGCAAGGACUUGUCUCAAAACCCAAUUUAGCUAGUAGAUCAUGAUGUCUGUGGUUCGAUUGUCCGGGCUUCCUUUCUCACUUCGCUUUUGUAAAGUUUGGAGUCUCUUGCUGAUUAAAAAAAAAAAAAAAAAAGGAAAGAAAAAUGACAAGAACUUCCCAUGCAAUCUAUUAUUGGGGGUAACUUCGCUUUGCUAACUCACAUACAUGUUCUACACGUCUCAAAAAUGGGAUAAUUUAGCAAUUGCAUAUGAAACAAAUUAGUCUAAAUUUCGAUAGGAUGUUCCAAUUAUUACAGACAUAGAACAGAAAAAGGGUAAUUUGUAGUCAAAGAUUGCACAUUACAAGCUCAAGCCGCAGCAGCAAUGUAAUGGGGACUUUUUAAGAAAUCGGAAUUAAGGAUGCAAAGUGUGACAAGUGCUAAAAUUUGAGAGUAUAUAUGCAUGAAAUUAAUGCACCUCCAAGUAAACCGAUUUAAUUAAAUGCUUAUAAUCCUUUCAAAUGACAACUGAAGUGGUUAAACUGGCAUCAAUAAAAACAAUUUUAGCAUUUUAUUUACUCUUUUUAGAAAAUAAUGAGCUAUACAAACUUCAUUAUCUGCCCUUUUCUUUCUCAUGUGUACUAAUAAUGUACAUUCCUAGAAGAAGAUUCGAAAGUCCAGUAAAACGCAUAAGGACUAAUGUGUGGAGACUAAAUUGCGAUUCAAAUUGCUAUUACCCUCAAACUGGCUAAAUGAAACUAUUCAAGGGUUUUUGUGUUUCACCCCUAAAGUUUUCAUCAACAUCGCUUUGCAGCCUUUGUGUUUGUGAACUGUGCCUUUUUUGUUUGUUUGUUUUUUUUUUUUUUGUUCUGGUCUAACACAACCUUACAUUGAAUUUUGUAUUUUGUUUAUUUGUUUGGUACAAGGGAGAUUUAGCAUAGAGUGAUAGUCGCAUUCAUUAAUCCAUGCCAAUGAUUACUUCUGUGAGAUUGGGACAGGCAUUAAAAACUCAUAGUUACAAUUGUCUCAAUCAAAAAUCAUUACUAACCCUGUACUAUUCUAUUCCCAAUUUUUGCAGACGUUGCUAGCUCUUCUCAAUACUUGCUUUGGGAAGAACAUGAGAAAAUUUAUUCAUAGUUUUGAGCAUUCAUGUAGAGAUCAUUUUGCAUUGAAUUCUCAGGGGUUAAAGGGAUAUACACAGUAGCGGUGUUAAAGCUCCAUGAGUAAGGGGUCAAUAGUCACUUGGAUCAAUAACAUGUAGUUUACGUUUCAAUUCAAUUAUUGGUUCACAGAAGAAAAUUAGUAUAAUGCAGUUGUUGUUCUAAAAUUUUGAAUCCUUGUCCGUUCAAGUGGUAUUUAUUACUUUUUCAAAUACGAUGGUGGAAAAUUUUAUAUUUUUAGAAAGAGAGUAAAGGGAAAUUUUUCCCAUAAUUUAAUUAAGGGUUGAAAAAUUAUGAAAAUUUGAGGGGGUUGGGGGGCAAUUUGUCUGCCUCAGUAGCCUGGCUCUGCCCCUCCAUAUGCACAGUAAUCUAUGUGAUCAAUCAACAUUGAUCAAACAUUAGAAAGAAAUAUGAACAAUAAUUGCACUUGUUCAACUGUUGGUAUUGGUACAAAAUCAGGAACGACAAUCUUACAUAAUCUUUUUUAGCCAGAAACAUAGCUUGGAAUACAUUCCUGGAUCAGGAAAUGUAAGUGUUGUGGAAACAAAUACAGAACAUAAAUAAUGACAAUAGGUAGAAUAAAAUGCAGGAUGAAAGAUUCAGUAACAAAAGGCUCUGAGCUUUAGAUCUGCAUGAGCUCUUCAAACGUUUUCAUUGCAGCAGCUGGCAACCCCAGAAGCACAUUGAUGCUUUUCCUUUCUCUUCCAUGAGACAGAAACAGGCUUACUUCCUUCUCUGGAAGGGCUACAGGCCCUGAUAAAACAGGUUCCCCCCAUCCAAAAUCAGUAGUAUGGAAAGAUAGCCUAGACCAGGUUGUGAUGAGAAGCGUUGCAGUCAAAGAAGGCCUUACUCUAGUUGCUUCGAAGUAGUCUAUAGCAGAUCUCAUAUAACUGUCUGUGACAAUUUGGACUGAUUCUUGGACUAGCUUCACUGCAAAUGAAAGUGGAUUCCCGACUAGCUCACCCGCGCUGCAAAAUGAAUUUGUAAGCACAAUUCCAUUGCCAAAGUAGCCUUCUGGAAUUGGGGGAUCAAAUCUUGAUCUUCCAUCAACUGCAAAGAGAAGUUUUGUCUUUUGAUCAGGCUUCAUCUUCAGGGCCUGGCUACGAGAUCGCCAUAUGAAUGCUGACAGGGCUUCAAAUGUGGUGCAUUUGGCCAGAGCUCCAUCUUCCAAAGCUUUCCUUUUGAGCUUUUCGAGUUUUUCUGGGUCAAAACAGAAUGACCUGUAGUGCAUUUCCUCCUUGUAUAGUUCAGCAGUAUUUGAUGUGUCAUCAAUUUCAGCGAAUUCAUGAUGGGGAAAUUCUAUCUUGGGAGGAUUUCGGGCUUUGAGUAUGGUUCUGUCCAUAAAUGGAGGCACUUUUAAAGGCAGUCCUCUGGCAACUUCACCCCAGGAGUUGACAAAUUCCAUUGCACCAAUCCCAUCAAACAUGCAGUGGUUCAUGCACAGCCCAAGAACAAAUCCUCCACACUUGAACUUAGUCACCUGUAGAGCAAAAUCAGUUAUCACUCAAAGACCUUAAAUUUCCAGGGUAAAGGAACAAUAAACAGCAGGGCAAGCCAUACCACGUAAGAUUGCACUAUUGCAAUAAUUUCUGUUAUGAAAGCUCUACCGAACUUUCAAGGAUAAAAUGUAAAUUCAGAUGCUCCACUUCUUUUCUUGAUCAUGUAAUAUACAUGUGACAUUGCAAAAGCCUAAUUCCUGAAUCAAAAUCUUUUCCUCUUUUUUUAUUCGCGGCCUUUUUCUUUAACCACAGAGAUUUGCUUAUAUUUUAGUUAUUCAAAGAUGUAAGUUUGCUGGAGCUAAUACUCGAAAUAGAAGUUAAAGACAUGUUGUAACCUGAGCAGCCAAAGGAGGAAUCUCCAGUACGUUUUUCGCCCCUGGAACAUCAUAAACCAGCUUUCCGAGAGUAACAGGAUCAGGCUUUGUGUUGUCGCCGAUGUCUUCAAUGGUGCAAUCUGCUUCAGCCUCAACAAAGACAGCCCCUUCUCCGGUACAAUCCACUAUCAGCUUUCCCUCAGGACUAAUGGUUAAACGCCCUGCAAGAGGGUGGUACUGAACAAGAACCUUUGAUAAAGCAUCCUUGAUCAUCCUUACAGCUUCCUCAUUGCCCUUUUCCCCUGAUUUAAAGCAGUAAAUUGUACGAACAAUCACCGCAAUGUUCUGAUCAAGAUUUGAGAGGAAAUACAGGCCCUUCUGUGUUUCUUCAGCUGGAGGGAUCAAAGUCGGUUGUCCCUGCUUGACGGUGAGCUCAAAUGUGUUGCUCUUACCAUUCUCCAUUGCUAAAAUUGUUCAAAUGACACAAUCCUGAGUCAAAACACCAUGUUAGUGAAAUUCAAAGAGAUGAAAUUUGUGUGUUUCGAGUGUUUCAUUCAUGCAAAUUGCAUCAGUGGAGAUAAAAUCUCAUGACUUGUUUAAAACUAGUAAAGACGGUCGAGAAAAAAACAUGUUCAGAUAUUUUACCUUCAAUAAGCACUCACUAGUAAAGAGAGCUUUUCUAUCUGUUGGCUGUGCUAAACUGAGAAUAUCAUGUUUUGGGGAAAGGGAUUCAAGGAAUAUAUAGGAAGACAAUUGCUUGCAAAAUUUGAAGAUUGUUAAGUUUUGGUUAACAAAGAUGGUCCAAUGAAAAUGACUAGUACUUUAUGAUUGGCAAAUUUAAUUGCUAAGAUUCUUCUUGUAGACUUCUAGAGAAAGAAGAUAUUAGACUAAUAUAUAUCUUUUGGGGGGGGGGGGUGUUAACAUUGCCUAUUAAUUCUUAUGUACGUAAUCCCAUUGUACUUUUGAUUUUAGUAAAUUUUGUUUUGGUCAUUUGGUGAGGACAAAUUCUAUAUACUCAUAUUGGUAUGGUUAGGCUACUAGCCAUGGAACAAAAUUUUAGUAACAGUCAAGAGAACAUGGCGUAGUAGAGAAGAUCCUGUGGGGUUGGUUGGUAGGGUUGGCGUCCAAAUUUUGAUUACUUGAUGCAUCUAAAAUUUGAUGCAGCAAAAUGCCACGCUACCCCAGAUAAUCACUUUAUUCCUAGUCACUUCACUUAUAAUAUAGCAUAACAACAAGAAAAGCAGAUUAUGAUCAAAUCUCCACAACAUUAUGGUUUUGUAAUUAAGUUGGCACUUUUUUGGCCUGGAUUGAUGGCAAUUCACCCCUACAUUACUCAAGGAUCAAAAAGUGUUUUGGGUUUCUUGAGGGUUAUGCUCUGUUGAAAACAGCCAAGGAGAACAUGUUACAGCAUCAAGGCAUUAUUAGCUAAUGUUGGGAUUUUUAUUAUUUUCCCUUUUCCUUAUUUUCUCCUAAAAUCUCUUCCUCUCCAUUACAAGUCCUUUUCUUUUUUCUUCUUUCAUCUCACUCUCUUCCUCAUCUUUCUCAAUACAUUUCAUGCUAAGUUACAUAUAUCUUCUUUUCACGUAUGACCUAAAUUAGAGGAAUUUUUUAUUUUCUUAUGUAUGUAUUGAAAAGAGGAAAAGAAGACCACAGUUCUGCAUGGGUUUACCUCUAACUUUCUGUUAGGAUGAUUAGUUAGUUAAUGGUGUGUAAGCACAGCCCUUUUUGAUCUUUUAAUCUCUGAUAAGUUGACAAUUAGAUUGAGCAAGUUGCUAUAUGGAAAUUCUGAAAAAGAUAGAUUAUGUAAGAACAAUAAUAAUAAUGAUUUGAAAGCCAUAGCUGAAAGUAAAAAAAAAAAACCCAUAUAUCUCCUGUGCGUUGAUAUUGUAGCCUAACAAACUCAAACAAAAACUUUUAAAUCUUAGAUUAGAACAGAAUAGCAAACUUAAGAACUUGAUAUAUGAGUUUGGUUUAGUUGGUGCACACCCUACCCUCAUCCAGAACGACUGCACUUACCUAACUUAAUCACAAGGUUUUUGUUCAUUAUUGCAAAAAAAAAAAAAAAAAUUUUUUUUGGGGUUUAUCAUUGCAAAUUUGGUAACGUUGAGGGACAAAAAAAUUUACUUUCAAAUUUUUAUUUAUUGCUUGAAAUUAGGGCGAAAUAAAAGACUUUUUGCUCACUUACAUUAGCUUAGUAGCACUGCCAAAAAAUAAUUCCUAAUUAUGCCAAAGCUAUGUUUUGAGUAAUAAUCACGAAAUUAGUCAAUAUCUGAGCAAUAUUUCAGGGCAAAAAUCCAGUGCUAUUGGAUUGGCUUUCUUCUUCUCUUCUUCGUCUUCUUCCUCUUCCUCUUCCUCUUUCUUCCCUCUUUUUUUUUUUUCCCUAUUGAUAGCUAUAAUUGGGAGAAAUAGUCCCAAAUUGUGAUCUCAGAUUCUGACGCAUAUUCUCACUUCUGAAUUCAACAACAUUUAGACUUUAUCUGAGACUAUAUUAUGCAGACAAGACAAUUUUGCUUCUUCCCUUGCUUUCCUGUUGAUAGCUAUGAUUGUGAGAAAUAGUCCCAAAUGGUGAUAUAUCAGAUUCUGACGCAUAUUCUCACUUCUGAAUUCAACAUUUCGACCUUAUCUGAGACUAUAUAUUAUGCAGAAAAGACAAUUUUCAGAUUGCAAUAAAUUUGUCAUUCGAUUAGUGUUUCGAUUGGAUUUUUCUACCAAAAAAUUUUUAUGUUUUCCACAAACACGUUUCUAAAUCACAUUUGAUCUCACAUAUAUCAAAUCGUUACAAUAUAUUUUUCUACAAAGCUGCAGAAAAUAUCAAUCCAAACAUUUUUACAGAACCAUCCAACAUUUUUAAGAUAAACUUAAACCAUACAUGCUGUGCAAGGAAUCAAGGACAGCAGCACCAGUGGAAACGUCAGGUCAAGGAUAUACAUAUGAUCAGAACACACCCACUAUGACGUUAAAAUGCAGCCAAAACCCACCAGAGACAGAAAUCCCUUUUAUUCUCUUAUCAAGAAGAACUAAUUAAGAACAAAACUAUCAUAGUUAUCAGAUAACAAGUAAGACAGAUGAUCUAUGCAUCGGAUAGAUAUCAUACUCAUCAAUUUGGAAUUAACAGACAUUGAUGAAAUGAUUUUUAACGCCAACCACCUAUGAUAGAUGGUAAAAUCCCACUUAUGAGAGAUGGAUUUCAUCAGAUGGAUUUGAUAUUCUUUUCCUUUAACUACGAGUAGUCUGCGUUUACUUAAUGGAAUCAUGUGUGUUCCUGUGCAAUUGCUAGAUUAAUAUAUACAAUUAUCUAUAGAGGAAAUUUUUAGGAACACAAAAGGUGUCAUUUCAACUUGUGCUUUAGAUAUUGUUUACAUUUGAUUUUACAACCCUUUUUUUUUUCUCUUUUACAUUACAGCAAGGUUAUUUAAUUAAUUUUUUUUUGUUUGUUUUAUCAAGCUAUAGCACGGUUAUUUUACCUACUCGAAGGAUUUAGGUACUUGCUUAACACAAUCAUAUCCGAAAAUUUACUGUACUUUUUUUUUUUAAUUGUGGAGGAAUGUAGUUUAUUCUAUUUUUACAAUGAUUCCACUAAGUAAACUAGAAAUAGGAUAGCAACUUGACAACGACGCUAUUUCCAAAGCAAGCAAGAAGAAUGCAUCCAGGAGCAAGCAUCUUGUUAAUAACUGAAAAACCAAAAUUACUACUACAAGCAAAAGUAAAGAGAGUUGCACAAAUUACAGGCUUAAUGGCUUGCAGCGCAUCAAUAUCAAAAUGAAAACUCAAGACAUUGAAGAUGAGUAAAAGACCGUCCUUUCAAAUCCACCCUUCUCACUGUAAAAUGUCUCAUCUAUGUGUCAAAGAACAGUAUAAAAAUUACAAAUCUAAGUCCACUGUGAACCCACUUCUGGAAAAUUUCCUAGGUGUUUUACAGAGUUUAACAUCAAAUAAAUACAACUACAUCAAUUUCAUGCUCAAGCUAUAAGCUAAAGAUAGGAAGGGGAUUAGAAUGUAAAAAAUCCCUAAUGGUGAGAUUUCAUCCAAAGUACAGACACACAGUUAAAUGUUAUAUGAUACAGGUGACCUAUUCCGCCUUCAUCUGUAAGAAGUUUGACAGAAGGAAAUGAUACCGCAGUUGCAGUUGUGCUGCACACCCCCAUCUGAUAAGAGUCCCUUGUACAACGCUUCUCAUCAUCAUACUGAACAACUAAUUCAAACUGAUACUUUCCUCAUCCACGGCAUAUGCUUGGAUUUUAAAUUUAAGCAUCAUUGUCAUCAUCCUCAUCUUUCUCAUGAUUACUCCCAGCCUCAGCUUCCUCAUCUUCUUCCUCAUCUUCCUCGUCAGUCAUGUUAUUUAUAACCUCAGUAAUUAUAGCCUUAACUUCAGACUUUCGGUGCAUUAGAUCCACUCCAAAGUGGGUUCCUGAAGGCAAUAAAGUCAACCAACUUAGCAACCACAAGUGUAACUUAAAGAGUACGAAUCAUAUGAUUCCAUUAAAAACAUACCAAGUUGCCUGAGAAUAUCAGAUAAGGUUGCCUGCAAUUAAGCAAGUACAAAGAUUAAUAAUAGACUCCACGCUGUCAGAAAUAAUUAUGCUCCAUAGAGAACAACAGAGACCACUUACAGUGUUAAAAUCCACUUCCUUCAAAAUGGCAACUACUACUUUAUGCAUUUCCUCAUUGCUGGGUUCUGCCUUAGCCUUCUUGUCACUCUUUGAUUUCCCUGUAAGUCUCAAAGCAAGUUAUAACAUGUUCACAGCAUACCAAUGGACGUGACGUUCUUUCAGAAAUGUGAACAAUCAUGCAGCAAAUAUUUGCAACAACUAUGCCCAGAUGCAAUUACGCCACACAAUUCAUGCAUCUUGGAACUUUCAAAAAAUUGAGUGAAUUUUACAACCAAUCUCAUAUAAGGUCAUUACUCUUAUGAACUAACAUCAAUAACAUACUAACCAGUAGUCAAGCAUAAACGCUAGUAGUCCAAAAUCAAGGACAGAAUCCUCAAACAUUCCGAAGCCAUACAGUGCAAUGCAUGGAUGCAGUAAAAUGAUAAUGAUGAAUGGCAAUAACACUCUGAACUAUGCUGUCAGUAUUUGAAUAAGAUUUUGGAUCAAACUAUAUUAAACAAUAAACAACACACCUUGAUCUUUUCCUGAACCCUUUGUCGAAGAGUUGCUUGACUGCUUAAUACUUGUAGCUUUUUCUUUCCCAGAAGCAUCACGUACUUUCUCGCUGUCCUUUUCAACCUUCUGUUUCUUAGAAGAUGAAACUUUGGACUUCUCCUUUGAGUCAGAUUCAGUAGCAACUUUCUUAGAUCCUGAACUCACAGUUUUUUUGGCACUUUUACCAGAGGUUUUGGGAGAUUUGGCUGGGCUCUCUUUCUUCACUGCCUUAGACUUCUCCCUGUUAUUACCACCAGAUUCCUUCUUCACACUCUUCUUAGAAGCACUUUUCUCACUUGGCUUCUGCUUGGGUUCCUCAUGAUCUUCUUCAACAUCUUCAUCUGACUUGCUCUGCUCAUUAUCACUUUCUGCUUUGACAACUGCAUCACUAUCCUCAUCCCCCAAAGAUUCUUGUUUGCUGUCAGAAUGCUCAAACGCAUCAUCUUCUUCAUCCUCAGUUGAGGAACGCUUGCGCUUUUCCCCAACUUCAGAAUCCUGUUUUUGUUUCUGAAAUUGAGUAGAAAUAACAUUACCAGUAUUGGCAACAAACAAAAAAAAGCCAAAGAAAUCGGAACAAAACCAUGACCUGCCAAAUGAUCUAUGUAUUUGAUAACAUACUACAUGCUUUCAAGAUACUAAAAACUAGUAGCACUUUGAUCUCAAAAAACUAAAUUUGAUAACCUUUCUCAUGAUUAAAAAAAAACAUUUUCUGUGCAGCACAGCAGGACUUACAGAAAUAUUAUACAGGAAACUGGCAUCUUAGCUUGACAACAACGAAACUUCAGUAUCUUGAAGCAGAUAAUAAAUAUUACUUAAUGGACCCUGAAGGGCCACUUCCUUUUACCUGGCUUAUCUAGUCAGAAAUUAAUGGAAUCACAAGGCUGUUUCCAAAAGAAAACAGCUGGAUUCAGCUAUGAGUUACUUGAAAGAUGAAAGCAAAGGAAACUAUACACACCAGACCAUAACAGUCAAAUCAGACAUCUCUCAGUAAUCCCAGAGACAAAUGUUACAAUCAAUCUCUAAACCCAAACAAAGAAAAUAAAAAAGUUGAAAAUUAAUUCUGUUACAACCUAGGCCUGGACAACAUAACAAGAUCAUCCAUGAUCCAGGAAAGAAUGAAGUUGCUCACAAAAACUUCAUCCUAACAUACGUAAACAGACAACUCAAGAUAAACUCCAGAAACCCCUCUUGCUAAACAACAGCAAAAAUUCCAAUUAUACCACUAUCCAAACCCAUCAAAAGUAGGACCAUACUCGCUGGAGAACACUACACGAAAUCCAUUUUUGUGGAAGGAACAUCCCAUUAAUGCCCCAAGCAAGCAGUUCCAGUAGCUAAUGACAAAACCCUUUGCUCUAACUGAAACUCUACCAUUCUCCAGUAAGAGUCUUCAAUCUUGCAGGGCAUUUAUUUUAGUUGGUAAAAGAGAUGGAGAAAAGAACAGUUAUUGCUUAUAUCAUCUACAUGCCAAAAAGAGAUUCAUCCACAAGCUAUGUAAAUUAUCAUGGGUUCCUUUUACCAAAGAAAAAGCUUUCUGAUAACAUGACAAACCAAAGAAACAUUUAGGCAUCCUCCAUUGGCAAGUACAAAGACAAUAAUCUACUUAAAUGACCCAGAAUGUCCACUGAUUACUGGAAAUACAUUGAAUUGGCAUUGUAAAUACAAUACCACCCAUUCAACAGGCUCAUCUACGUGAAAAAUCUAUAUGUACCAGAUCUUUUCCCGUACACUGUUCUGGCAAUCAUAUAAAUGACACUAACCUUUGCUGACUUUCCUGUAGCUGCAUCCGAAGAGCCUGAAGUUUUACUUGUUGAUGCUUUCACCUUCCGUCUCUUACCCUUCUGAGAUAAACAAACAACUUUAAGAACAAGAAUGACAUAUUAACUCUGCAGGAAAAGACAGCCAAAUAUUCAACCGAAAAGAGAGAGAGAGAGAGAGAGAGAGAUGUUUGAGUAAUCACCUGUUCCUGGUCAGCAAGCAAAACCUCUGUGGUAGCAUGUGGGGAUUCCAAGAACUCCAAUAACUUUGCUGAAAGAUCUUCCUACGGAAGUGUACAAGAUUGAUUAAAAAUAAAUGGAUGCUUCAACAAAUAACAUAACCAUCAGGGAAGUAAGCGGCAACUUGCCUUCUUUGCAACAGCUUUGUUCAACCGAAUAUUGAGGAUAUCACAAAAGACAAACAAUCUGUCCUUAACACAUUUGUCAAGCUUCUCCUUGACUUUUGCCCUUUGCUUUUCCUCCUGAAGACGUCAAACAAGGAAGAUUAUAUAAUGUCAGCAUAAUGAUCAGUACAUCACAACCCAUUCAUCUAGGCGUACACAUAAACUUGCUACAUCAGAUUACCCACUUAAAAUAUACCCAAGUUCACAAAUUAUUCAUGACUAUGGCUUUGAAAAAACAGAAGCAAAAACCAUACAAAGAACUUGAUCUUUUAGCUUAUGGUGGAAAGCAAAUGAACAGAAUAAAGUAGAAUACUUGUCCUUAAAAAAUUUUCUCCCAGUUACCCCAGUUUCAAAUGACAAGGACCUUCCCAGUUUUAGAUCCAUCUUCAGAUUCCCACGUGUCCACAAGGUCAAUGGCUCAUACAGACUUAUUAAUUAUCAUGCAGCAGCAGGAUAGUUGAUUUGUCAACCCAAUAGAUCCAAAUACAACCAAUUGGCAUAACAUGCUCAAGGCAGUUGGAUGAUUUACAGCCAAGAACCACUGAUUUCAUGAAUAAAACAGCACAUGUGAACACUUAACAGCCAUCAGAAACUGCACAACCCACAGCAAGAGAGAUACAAAUCCAACCAUUUCACAUAAAAAGCUUUACCAAAAAGACCAAUAAUAACAAGAAAUAAAGGACCAAGAGUUCCACGUGAUUUUUACCUCAUUUUCUGUCCAGACAAAGCCUGAAAACAUGCCUAUGUUUUUCUUCAAAGUCUGUGCCUGCAUCACAAGACAAAAAUACUUUACAAGGACAAAAUACUUCUCAUUCCCAAAUGAGCUUACAAAAAGAAAGUGACAAGUACAUAAGGCACCAUACGCAUACCAUUUGGCAGCCAUUUCUAGUUUAACUACAAAAUAGCUAAUUGAAUAAUGCAAUCCUAAAAAAAACAAUGAAUAUUUUGGGUUAAAAAAAAAAGAAACUCACCCUUCCUUUCUUGCCAAAAAGAAUGUAGUGAAGCAUCUGUAGAGUGUCAUCAGCUUUUCUUUUUGAUAGCUUAUAUGCCACUGAAACAAUUCACAAGAUCAAUCUUAAAAGGUGAAACCUUUUCCAAGGAAGUAUAACAUAUAGACAAUAACACAACAGCCACAAGCGAAAGAAAUUCUACUAUGCUAGGGACAAAAGGAUCUAAGAAAACUAAAUAAUCCAAUUUAGCAACAGCAAUAACAAACACUAAACUAAGGCAUUGAGGAAUUCUAAGAAGUUAAAAAUGAAUGUGCCUACAAGAUACCAGGAAAAGAAGCCUUUGACCACUUAUCCUUCCAAUCUGCUAAAACUAUUCUCAAAUAUCAACAGACAGAACCAUAUCAGGCAUACGAUUUACAAAUCUAAUUUUACUCAAUAAGAUAACAAAGUCAAAACCUUUAAUUGUAACUUACAAAACUCCAAAUCAAUUUGUCAGCAAGUUUCCAAAUUAUACCUCCUAUGCUGUGGUAAACACGAUGUAGCUACAAUAGGUUUCCCUUCUUUCAACAUAGCCAGAAUAUAGGCAUUUCAAAGAUUUCUGACCAAACUCAUGAGAAACCUUAAAUUGUGAAUUAAUAAGAGUUCAUAGGCCCUUUCUUCCUCCAUGACUAGUUUUCUGUGCUAUCAAUAAGACUGAAUCAACAUCUUUUAGCCACCAUGAUAACACCAACAAACAGAGAACUCACCUAGUACUAAAACCCUUAAAGCACCACUGCACACCGAAAACCACAAAAAAGAAUUUAACCCUGCUCAGGCUUAAAUCUCAGAGCUGUCUCCAGACAGUCACAAUUCAUAAACCACUCUUUGAGUUCUCUUUCCUGGACACCCUGAAUCUCAACAUUCAUUACAAAAAUUAAAAAAGGCAUACUUGGAAUGUCCACAACAAAACAGAAGCAUUCUCUUGCAUGGGAAUGACAAGAACCACCUAGAAAACUUGUACUAUUGUACAUAGACAUAAACAUCUACACCCACCGACAACACAGUACCCAGACAAAAAGAAAAAUCACUACAAGUCUAAAACUUUAAUCCAUGAGAACAAUAAAGGCCCUAAGCUUCUGACACCAACCACAUCAUGACAACUUUGAAUUAUUCAGCUUAUGAAUAUGCAAGAUAACCACAAUUACGGGUCGAACAAGCCUCAAAUAGUCAAACUCAUAAAACUCUUAACUAUUAACUGCAUUUCACUGAACUAAAAUAAAAUUAUCACAGUGAAAUGAUACCAUUAGGAAUGUCCUUUAGCGGCGUGCCUUGACCCUGCAAAAGGAAAAAAAAAUUACACAAAAACCAAAUGAAUUUCGAAACAAAUUUUGCCAAUUAAUUCACUUAAUAGUCAAAUCCCAUACUGAAAGAAUAAAAAAUCAUUGCCUUCUCAAUAGCUAUCGGUUGGCGACGCACUCCUUGCGGCAGAAGUCUCGGUAUAUCUCUCCACAGUCUUCCUCUCCCUGGUGGGCCUCUCAAUCGCCGGUGUCGCCGGUGAAACCUUCUCUUUCACUUUCUUAGCGCUCUUCUUCACUUUCUUCUUCUCCUUCUUAUCCUCCUCUUCUUCUUCUACCUCAACUUUUUCCUCUUCUCCAUCCUCCUGCUCUACUUUCUCCUCUUUCUCUUCCUUCUUAUCAACUUCCAUCUCAUCUUUUCCUCCCUCUUCUUCCACCUCUUUAUCCGGCAACUUCUCUUCACCCGCUGCGGCUUCUUUUACCCCUUCUCCACCAUUUUUCACAGCAGCAUCCGGAUCCUCCUCUUCCUCCUCCUCCUUCUCCUCCUUUCCUGGCUGUUUCUCCUCGAGGGUUUCUUUCUCAGAAGCCAUGAAUCAAAAUUCACCAACAAAAACCAAAAGGGCUUGUCGGGAGAACAAAAAAUUGACAAUAGAUUAUACUACUAGGAAAUAGAGUAAAAGUAAAACCCCUGGUCUGGGAUUUUAGGGCUUUAGGGGAAAAGGGGGUUUUGGUAUUGGGUUAAUUUUUUGAUCGUUCGAAGAAGAAAUCGAGUGAGAGUAGGGGAUGAGAGAGGAAGCGGUGAAAGCAUAAAAAUAAAAUGACGAGAAAGGGGUUUUGGGGGGAGGCAAAUUUUGGGGAAAAUUUUGGGGGAGGCGGGGAGAUUUGUGGUUGGGUGGGAGGGGGCUUGGAGUUUUGAAAAUUUUCGCGAAAUUCGGUGCCGAUUCAAUUUACCGGGUUGAUUCGCCUAGUUGGCUCAGUUGAGCUUUUGGGGAUUUGGGUCUCUCCGGUCGCCUUUCUCCUAUUUGCUGCAACUUUGAUUUGUUUCCCUCUAUUCAAUGAAGAUAAUGGCUUGAAUUUUAAAUUUUUGAAAUUAUUAUAAUUUAAUGGUCAAUAAUACUCAUUUUACAUUUCAACUCUAAGGUCAAUAAAACUCAAUUCAGUAAUUAAAUUUAAUAAAUUCAGAUUUAAAUAUAUUCAAAUGUAUUUAAUAACUAAAAAUUAAACAUUUGAAUAAUUAAGUGAUACAUCCAAUACAAUAAUUAUUUAUUACACUAUAUCUCCAAACAAUAUAUUUAAAAGCAUUUAAGCAGUUAAUAAGUACUUUUAUUAAAAACUGUACUAAGAAAGUACUUUCCAAUAAGUUACCCUAAUUUCAAAUUGGCCCUUAUUUUAAUUUUUUUAAAAUAUUUCUUGAUGUGAAUCGUUAUAUUCUUUAUUUAAAAAAUGAAAGUAAUUGUUAUACUACAAGAGCUCGAUCUAGGCUCAACAUGUUGUUUGACCUUACUUGGACUAAGGUCAAAUAAGCUAAAGUUAUAUCUAAUCACGUUUGAGCUAUACAAUACUCUGUCUCGAUUCAGCUUGGUGAUACCUCUACACUUCAUAUUAAUGAGCAAAUCAUUAAAUGUUUACGUUAACAAAAUUUUGAAGAAUAUUGAUGACUAGUUCAGUGAUGAUGGUAUUUUCUUAGACUUGAAAUCUAUUAACGAAGUUUAAUUAUUUUGUUGUUCAAUAAAAUAAAUAAAAUCCCUAAGCUUACUUUAGUUCAAACUUAUCCGGAAGAUGGCAGCUAAAUACCCUUAGCCCCCUCCAAUAAUCAGGGUAUCGUUUUGUCUCAAUGUUAAUUAAUGGCAUUUUCCUUGUUCGGGUAACAUCGAGUGUUAACUCAAACUUGUUACUGUGAGACCCUUAUACAGGCCAUAGAGCAAGGUUUGUUAUUUAAUGAUCUUUUCCAAAAGAGCAAGAAAGAAAGAAAGGGAGUAAGGUGAGGGUGUGGGAGGGGGAGGGGGUGGAUGGGGCUCUCUUCCCAAAUCUAUUGGAUGUGGGUUCUUCAACCUGAGUUUAAGGUCCAUAUGGUUCUCGUUCAGUUACCAAUUGAUUGGAUAUGGGUUUUCUUGUAGUCCCUUAGAUUACUGUUAAUUGGGUCCUCUAACCGUUAAUCUUCUGAGUGUUUCUAAUCUAAUUGGAUGUGUGUGUUUCUAUUUCUCGACAGAAAAAAAAAAAAAAAAAGGGAGUAAGAUCUCAAAAGUUUGUGAGAAUGAAUACAUUAAUUCAACAAUCAACCCCCACCUAACUCUUCUAUCCUUGAAUAAAAGUUUAAAGAUAUCAUUAAGGUUGUUAGGCUUUUUAUGAAUGCAUUAAGAUCUCUCCCUCUUUUCUUUAGGCUUCUCUAUGCAUUUAAUUACAACGUUCUAAAAGUCUAGGAUUAUCCAUCCUGAUUUUGGUUUAUUUAUUUUCCAUUUUUUUACCUAUAUAAAUAUUGCAAAUAACUGAACCAUGAAUUCAGUUAAGAAGACUAAAGGGGCGGAAGGGAAACAACCGAUUAUUGAGUAUAAUCAAAGAAUCAUCUCACAAACCUAAACCUCACCUCACGAGGUUUUUAACAAUUUCACUAACCACCGUUGAGAGUUUAGAAAUUACAUCCACUUCUAAUGUCUAUUAAUUAAAAAUAAUAAUAUUCGCCUUUAAAAUAACGCUGUAAUGAAACUCUUUCUUUGAUGUCUAUUAUUCUUUCCUUUUCUUUUUCUAUUCUUAUUCUUUCCUUUUAUAUUUUGCAAGUACAACUAUGAAACUAUCAACACUGUCCUAAGCCUUCAUCAUAACCAAAUGUCGAACUAGUCAUCUUUUUUGACAAGAUAACAUUGGAUGUGAUCUUUUUUUUUUUUUUUGCUAUUUUUGUUUUGAUAAAAAAAAUAAUAACUCCAAUUGCAAUAGUUCAAAAUCACUAUCAAACUAUGGUAAUUCUACCACUACAAAGAUCCAUAAACUCUAAAAAUUUUAUCGUAACACUUUCUUAUUGUAGUAGAUAUCUAUAUUCUCAAUAAAGCAACUUCAAAAUGUUUCCUAUCUUAGUAAUAGGAUUAGCAUCAUAGUUUCUUAUCAAAUGAUAUAAGUACGAAAAUUUGACACAUGUUCUUUAUAAUUGUGCAAAAUUAUUUUACAAUUGUUUAGAAAAGAAAAUUCAGCUUUUAUUAUAUGAAUAUCUUUCUCUUUUUAUUAAAAUUUUAAUAUAUGAAUCUAUUUUAGGGUAUUCAUUUAAAUUUUUUUGACCAAGUUGAGGAGAUUUUGAGGUUCAGUUCUUAAACCUAUCAAAUCAGGAAAAGUAGGUAUAAUCUUUGAAACCUUGAAGAAACUCAAUGAAAAUGUUAGAAAGCUCAAGAGAGGUUUCUUAAAUUAUCCCUAUAAUCAAAAUUUACACAAAAAUUGACAAAAAGUGUGCAUAUAACUUUUUUGUAUUUAUUGAUGUAAAAUAUCUAUAAAUAUUAUUACUUAAAAAAGUUAUCAUUACAUACUAAUAAAGCUUGAAUUUGGGCUUCCUGUAUUGUCGAACUUACUUGAGUCAAGAUCCGCCAGGCUAGUUAUGCUGAUUAGAGUUCAAGCAUUGCAUUAUGCAUUAUGCAUUAUGCAAUGUCAAUCUUCGAAGAAGAAAAGCGAUACUGAAAGUAGGGGUGCAGAGAAUUCGAGUAGCUUGAAUCGAGCUCGCGAGUAGCUUGGUUAGCUACUCGAAUCGAGCUCGAGCAAAUUCGAGCUCGAGGCGAUUUCGAGCUACUUGCUACAGUAAACGAGUCGAGUUCGAGUAAUUAAUGGCAAGAAAUUUUAACUCGUCGAGUAGCUCGAGCUUGGUGGCCUAUUUGUAUAUUUUAUAUAUCAAUUUACUCUUUUAGGUUUUUAGUUAGAAUAUUUACGGGCUUAACCAGUUAUGUUGUAAUAAUAAUGAAGGGUGAAUAAGUAAUUUUGGCUCGUAAACUAAAAGCGAUGAAAUGCAUUGCAAACUCUGUCCUUCAUUUGCCUUCUUCGUUCCUCUUCAGUCUUCAGAGUUCAGCUUACCUCUCAAAUCCCAAUCUCAGUCUUUGGCUCAUCUUCUCAAAUCUCAAUUGUCACUCAAAAAAAUUGGGGGCUGCUGCUGCUGCAAUACUUGUAAUGGUUUCUGAGCUCUUGAGUCUUGACUUAGAGGAAGCUCUUGAGUCUUGCGCGCUGCUGGCGCACGCCGUGGAGGAGAGGGCGUCGCGCGUUGGCAGAUGACUGCGCGCCGUGCGCAGCUGCUGCUGGACUGCUGCGGCUGAGUUGCUGCUCGAUCUGCCUGGAGGUGAACUGGAGCGCAAGGGGCAGGCUGCUCGCAAGGGGGCGACUGCGGUUGAGUCGCGCAGGGGUUGCGUGAGAAGGAGCUGCUGGUGGCGAGGCGCGGCUGGGCAACAGGCGCGAUGGGCGGCAGUGUGGCGUGCGGCGAUCUGGCGGGGUGCAAAGUGGCGGCGGCGGACAAAGAGAAAAGAAGGAAGAAGAAGGAGAAAAAGAAAGAAAAGGAAGAAGAAAGAAAAGAAAGAGAAGAAAAAGAGAGAAAGAGGGGAAGUAGGGCUGAUGUUGUUGUUGUUGCUGUUGUUGCUUCGAUCGGAUGCAUGUCAAGUUCGAGUACUCGACUCGAGCUCGAGCUCGAUAUGCAUUCAAGCUUGAUUGAGUCGAGUACGAUCUUACUCGUGCUUGUCUCGAGUCAAUCCCGAUCUUCAUUGCUCGAGCUCGAUUCGGCUCGAUUUCACCCCUAACUGAAAGAGAGAGAGAGAUGUACAUGUGCAAAAUGAUUGUUUUAGUUCUCACAGCAAAUGAAAUAUCAAGUAUUUUUAAAGGAUUUUCAGAUGUUAGUUUUUUUUUAAAAGCAUAAUUAAUUAGGAAAAGAUGUUAGUCUUUUGAAAAAAAUAUAAUUAAUUAGAAAAAGUGUCAGAAUUCAGGGGUGCAAUAACUUAGAUGUAAUUUAAAGAGACGCCUUUUAGAAAUAUCACUUGUUUUAUUAAGAGGCCUACUAGCUGUUUUUGUACAAUAUGUGAUUAAAUUUAACUAAAUUUGUCAAGAAGGAUUUACUUUAAUGGUUAAAAUGGAAACCCCAAAAAUUAGAAAUCUUGGAUUCGAAUAUUUGUUUUACAUGUCAUUGUUUGAGCUCAAGCUUCAAACUCAAGCGGAUAUUUGACCCAGAAGCUUGCAAGUCUCAGUUCAUUUAUACCUGUAGCACGGUGAUAUGCUCGAAUUGGUGAUUUAACGUGUACCAAUUUUUGAUGUAGGUAAAUUGAAAACUCAAUAAAAUAUAACAACAAAAUUAGGAUGAAUAAAGUUGGUCAACAUAUACUCCCGCGGUCCAUAAAGAUUGGCUGACUUUACUUUUGUGUAUGUCCCAAAUUAUACGCUUAUUUCCUUUUUUAAAGAAUAGUUAAUUUGUUAUUUUACUAAUAUACUCAUAUUUAAUGUACAUAGUUAUUACAAAUUUUUUUAAUAAACAUUAGUUGCCUUCUAUAUUGUUUGGCAAUUUUAUUUUUGUUAUUUAUUUUAGUCAAACAUGUAACAUUAAUUUGAUUGACUCUUGUAUUGAAAAACUAAAGUACCUUAAGUUCCUAGAAUAAUAUAGUAAUAUGAACCUGUUACUUUGAAUGAAUGAUCUAAUAUUAACAAGGGGUAUUUGAGGAAAGCAUGAACACAAAAAUAAUUAUUGUAACUAUGUUAGCUAAAUUUUUUAAUUUAUGUAAAAAAAAGAAAUAGGUCUAUCUUUACAGGACGGAGACAGUAAUUAAUGCAUAUAAAGUAAUCCCAACAAACUUUACGAGUUAUCUCAAACUCCUAUCCUAGGAUAGGAUGGAUGGAUGUAGUUGGUGGUUGAAUUGAUUUAUUUUGCUAAUGUCUCAUUUCCAUUUCAUCUUCAAGAAGACAUCAUUAAAAAGAACACGCCACUCUAUGUGGCCUGUAUAAAGGAUCCACAAGACAGAGUUUCAAGUACCCAACACUUGCAUUUGCACCCAUCAGUCUUGCAACAUGUCAAAAGUUCUUCUCCUCUGCUGCAUUCUUUCGCUCCUCUUUGUCAUGAAUCUUGGUACUUUUUCCUUUUCACUCUCUUCUCUCAAUCCUUGUUGUUAUGAAAAAGAAUAAUAGACAAAUGUACGCUGGAUUGGCAGAUAUGGCCAUCUUAAUUAGACUUGCUACACAUUGCCUCCCUGACAGAGAAAACUAGACCAGUUUUAAGUUACAUAUAUAAAACUGAAAUUUUCGCAUCGAAAAAACGAAAUCAAUGCAUAUGAUUAAAAAGAAAAGCAAAGAGGGUUGUUGGAUUAUGAGUUUUUUGUGAACUUAGAAUUUUUCUCACAUGUACAGCUGAAGAAGUCCCAAAUGCAGGAGGGUUGGAGGAUUCCAAAGUUACGGUAAAGCACCUUGGACUCAGAUUAAGCGUAGCGCAAUGUGUUAGAGAUUGCCACGCGAGGUGGCCAAACUCCACAGCGAGAUGUCCCAUUUUUCAUGGCCAUAUAUGCGCCUGCCUAUGCUAUGUCCCUUGACUCCCUUCUCUCUAAUUAUUAUUGUCAAUGAUAAUUUCCGUAAGCGAGAAGGCCUAUAUAAUAUGUAUGUGACUUCUCGGUUUUUAUACAGAAACUAUUACAUGCUAUGAAAACUUCUAUAUUCCAACAAACUUUACGAGCAAUAAUCUAUAUUCUUCGCUCCAAAAGUCAAAGAUUAAUCAUCCAACUGGACCAUCAUUAAUCCUAAAGGCAUGAAGAACAAUGACAAAUUUUAAAAGUUCUGAGAUCUAAUGGAAAUUUAGUAUUAGCUAUUCAAAAUUUGCUACGUGAUCAAAAAGAACGAUGGAAACGAGUUUGUUGGACCAUUAAUUUCCAAAUUGCUUGAAAUUUUUUAAACCCACAUAAUUUUAAACACUACAGAUGAUGAUUCAAGGCACAAAUAAGUUGAAAGGAAAAGGCAAAGUGGGUGUGAAUCUUGGACGUUAUAUAUGAAUCUUAGGUACAAGGAAAUGUAAUCCGGCACUACAAAACCAAUUUUGCAUCCUGCCAACUAAACAAAUAAUUAAAAUUAUAAAAGCGCAAAGUUUAAAACGUGUAUAUAUAGCAACUUUAUACAGACCUGAUUCUGCUAUGAAAUUUCUUAUAAUUGGUGAAUGAAUUGAAUAGUCAACAAAAUAAAGACACAGAAAUUUAAACAAAUUCGAGGUCAAAUAUAUCAUGCCUGAAGGUGUGAAUAAAAGGCUCAUUCUUCUACCCAAUAUCUACCUUAGUUGGUAGGAAUACUAGUACGUGAUCAUAAAAUUCUUCAUUCAACUUUUAAACUCAUUUUUUAGAAAAGGUUUGGAAUCUCCUCUUAAACUAAAAAACAAAGAAAAAAAAUGCUUAUCGUUUAGAUAUUGGAGGAAAAUUCACCGCAUUCAUAUUUGAAUUGUUGAGGCUUAAAUUAUUGAGUUUUAGUCUUUUCUUUGGGUUUCAAAAUUGUUAAGACAAUUAAUUGUCCUAUGGUACAAUAAUCAUGCCGUCCCAUCAACAACAAUUGCGUACCUCUCAAAAACACGAGAAAACAAAUCAUGCUUUAUCUUUUCCCAAGCCAAUCCGUUGUUCGAGGCAUUAUCGUCUCAAACAACUAAUUACUUGAUGGAUUUCUCUUUACGCCCAAAAAAAAAAAAAAAAAAUCAAUCAAGAAAAAAGGGCUGAAGUUUUUAUUCACAUUCAAUUAGGAAUCUGUUCACCACAUCUCAAGGCUGUCAAGUCCAUGAGUUCAUAUAGGACGUUAGAUAAUUUGGGUCAUUAGUAUUUACCUUCUAUGGGGAACUAUACAGCGUUUGCGGCCUCUCCGACUGCCGGAUAGAUCAAAUUAGCAGCGCACUUUUAUCGAUUUCAUCCCUUAUCCGACUUUCUCCUAAGGGCCAUAUAAAUGACAGCAGAAAUAGAAAAAUAACUAACUAGAAUUUGCCAAAGCGAAGCCAAAGUGCUCCAGUAUUGCAAGUAUAUAGUAGUACUAGUACUUUGUGAUUUUCAUGAUUGGUGGUUUUUGUAAUUUUGUAUGGCCUGACAACUUGACAAUUUUUUGCCUUGGCUUAUGGAUAGUGGAAAGAGCAAAUGGAAGAACUAUUCAACGAUCAAGAAAUUAGUGGUUUCUUUAUCUUUUGAAAGCAUUCCUCCAAAAUCUUCAAGAAUGGAGGGUGCUACAACCAUUUUUUCGUCGAAGAGUAAAUCAUGGCAUUGUGCUGGAUCAGCUGAAAAAUCCCAGCAAAAUCAUGCUGAGUACAAAACAAGGUAUAAGAUUGCCCCUAAAGGUUGUUUUUCAGUGUAUAUUCAAAUGGUAUAUGUUGGCCCUGCGAAACAAAGAUUUGUUAUCCACUGUUGAAGAUGCUGAAUUGGGAUAUGCAUAGAGCAAUGAAGGCCCUCUUUUGCUUCCAUGUGAUAUUGAUCUUUUUUGACAAGGUUUUGGCUGAGAUGGAUAGCGGGAAAGAGGCCAUGGUUGAUGAUUCUGAUUCAUCAGCUGGUGGUGGAUUUGCGUAUGGCUCCUGCAGUCCUUUUAGUCCGGCACGGGGUCUCCGAAAUGGCACCAUGUCUAAAUGUUAUAGUCCAUACGAACUUCUCACUCCACCCAGAUUGCUGAACAUCAAUUAGUACUUCUCAUUGCCUUUUCUAAGUUAUUCUGCCGUGUAGGUGUAGGAAUAAUGUCUUAUUUUAGGCUUUCUCAAUAAGUAUGGGAUGUGACAAAAUGAAACAUGAAGGGUUGAAUGCCGUGAAAAUUUAUUACUCAAGUGUUGAUUAACACCUUAUCUGCGUGCAUGUGUCCAAACUAGGGCUAUUUUGAAGUGUUUUCGAGGAAGAUAUGUUCUCAGGAAAAUAGACAUCCAGUAUCUCUCUUCUUGUCUGAAAUUUUUAACUGGAUUAUGAAUUGAGAUAAUUGUCAAAAAAGCUUCAUUUAGUCAUAUAAAGUUUGACUAAUAUCGCCAAAUUCAUAAUCUCACUCAAACUUUUGGGAUUUUGGUUUUCACAAAGAAAACCAGAAAAGAUUUUUCUCUUUUUAAUUAGAUACUUUGCUCCUCACUUUGUCAUCAGAAGUGCAUAAUACAUGUAUAAGUCGACUUAGUGAUUCUGCCUUGAAUGAUUGGAACUCCCAAAUAACGCCCAAUAUUUUAUUCAUCAAGGGAAAUUGAGUGCAUCGACUAAACUUUCUGGCAGUGGAUCUACUAAUAUUAGGGUGAGGCAUACAACUUAGAAUUUUCCAAAUUAAUUUUCUGGGCUGAUGUACCAUAGAAAAUCUCCAUAUAUGUUUGCCCUUUCCCUGGUUCCCACAUCGUUCGUGUUAGGUGUGUGUGAGUGGUACUUAAGGUGCUCAAGUAUACUCAGAAGUCAGCAAUUACCUUUUGGGUAUCCUUGUGGAGUUACCUUAGGUAACCGUUUGUGUAUUUUUGACAAAAAUGGUAGAAAAAAACCACCAGAGAGGAGAGAUGUGAGUGGUACUUAAGGUCCUCAAGGUCCUCAAGUAUAUAUCCUUGUGGAGUUAUCGUUUGUGUAUUUUUGACAAAAAUGGUAGAAAAAAACCACCAGAGAGGAGAGAUGUGAGUGGUACUUAAGGUCCUCAAGUAUACUCAGAAGUCAGUAAUUGCCUUUUGGAUAUCCUUGUGGAGUUAUCUUAGGUAACCGUUUGUGUAUUUCUGACAAAAAUGGUAGAAAAAAAGAGAUACAGUAUGUCUCAUAAUCUUUGUUUACGAGAUUGACGGUUCACCAAACAAGAUUAAAUCACCUUCAAGUAAUAUUGACUGACUUCCAAGAUUACUUGUUGAAUAGAGUCCCAAGAUUAAGUUGAUGAUGGAUUUUGGAAUAAAAUAGCCAAAUGCCACUCUUUGAAGCCUUCCAAGAUAGCUAAAUGCCACUAGAAAAACAAGCCGGCUCUUGUACUUCCACGGUUGGAAAAGUUGCAACAUCCUUGCAUUUCAAUUUGAUGAGCUAUAAAGCCUUUAGAUUUAGGUUAAUCAAGAAUCAAACUAGAAGGCUUAUACAUGAGAAUUAGGUAUGUCAAUUGAUAGGAUCUUUUCCAGAUGCAACCCAGAUCUAAUGUACUUGGAUAGAGUUUGAAUUUAAUUUCUUAAAUACAGAUCCUAUCUAAACCCAGACUGUAAAAAAGUUAUGGAUCUGGGUAAAGUCUGAUUUUGUGUGAUUCAUAUCCAAAUCCAAAUACAUACCAGGCCCAAUCUAAACCCAUGUAUAUAUAAUUAAAUUAUGUAUAUAUAUAUUAGUAAAUUUAUAAAAUAUUCUAAUAUUUUAUGGCCAUUGGAUCGAAUACAAUAAGAUUUCAUGAUUAUUUUUUUUUUUCAAACAAAUCCUAGUUAUCAUUGUAAUUAGUACAAACUUUUUAUAAAAAGGAGUCAAAGUAAAGGCAAAUAAAUGAAAGAUUGGACUUAGAUAUAAUUGAAAUUUAAAAAAUAAACCGAAGUAGUUAAUAAUAAUUAUUUUUUGAGUACAUAAUAUUGCAUCCAACUUCUUGAAUAUUAAUUUUAUUAUUUAAAAAUAAAAAUUGGAUGGUGUUUAUAUUUUUUAAAAUCUAUAUAUUUUUACUUUAGUAUAUUUAGGAAAAUAUAGCGAAUACCCAUUGGGUAUCCAAAUCCAUAAGAGUCUAGAUUUGGACUUAUUUUUUCAGACCCAUAAGGGUUUGGAUCUAGAUCUAAGUUUAACUAAAUUUAAUGGGUCUGAAUCUAGAUCAAAGGGAUGUAAUCUGAGCCCUACCCAUUGAUAUACCUAAUGAGUUUAAUGGACUUAUUUUUUCAAACCCAUAAGGAUCUGGAUUUGGAUCAAAUUUAACUAAAUUUAAUGGAUUUAGAUAUAGAUCAAAGGAAUACAAUCCAGAUUCUACCCAUUGACAUGACUAAUGAGAAUAAUAUAUCUUAGUAUAAAUUUCGUUAGACACGAUACAAAACAUUACAGAUAGUUGAGCAGGCUAAUUAUACCUCCAGUAAAUUUUUUCUAUUCCAUUUUUUUUUUGGAUAAUGUUAUUUACACCCCAUUAUGUUAUCUGCACUUCCGCUAUCCCAUUUUCAUCUUGACGAGACUAUAUUACUACUAUUUUAAUUUCUUUUCCUACCAUAUCUUGUGUUCACAUGUAAGGAAGUUCAGUACAAUUGUUGUACGUGUCCAAAAGGUAAAAAAAAAAAAAAUUAACUUUUGCUUCUUUUUUUCUACAUCUACAUAACUAUUUGUUUAAUUUUAUUUCAUAUUUUUAUUUUAAUUUCAAUUUUACAGAUUUUUUAUGAGCACAAUUGAGGUUUCAUUGCAUCAUCUAGUGACUAGAUGCUAUUAUGCUUUUGUUGGAAUAUACUAGAAAUGUUCAUUCCUUCUAUGGUGGUUAUAUGAGCUAUUCUUAGUAGGUUUUUCGAAGUAUUAAUAUCCUAUUUAUGAGACAUUAUAGUUACAUUCAAGUUUUGCUCAUCUUUGAUUAGGGUGACAAUUCUUGACACGACUCGAAAAUAUGAUUCGAACCUAAUACUCAUCAUGAAUUCGGGUCAAAUUCAAAUCAAAUCCGAAUGACCCGCCUAAGUAAAUAGGUCCAAUUCAGGUCAACUCACUGGUUGACCUAUUUGACCUGUUUAAUAUAUAAUUUUAUAAUCUAAUUAAUAAAUUAGAGGCAUAAAGUAAAUAAAAAAACUAACUAAGGCUAUAAAUUAGUAUUAUAAGAAUGGAAUCAUGAAUAUUAUGUGAAAAUAAGGUAUUUUAUUUGUGAAAGUGUCAUAAUUUUGUUUUUGUUCAUAUUUUUUUUGUAGAAAAAGAAAAAUAAAAAAUUACAACGAGAUUGGGUUGUAAUUUUAUAUAUUCUUAUGGAAACUCCAUUAUAAAAAAAAAUCCACCAUACUACCAAAUUGAGAAGGUUAAAAAAAAUAUUAAACAAAUAGGUUAUGCAAGUCAACUUCGGAUAACCCACAAACUAACGAGUCAUGUGGUCAAAAAAGUUGACCCAUUUAAAUUUUCGGGUCGGAUUUGGGUGGACGUCUUGGUAAGAAUACCUCAGUCUCAAUCCGACCCGUCAACCCACGAUCCGACCCGAUUGCCACCCCUAUCUUUGAUGCUUGAGAUUUUAUUUAUUUAUUUAUUUAUUUAUUUUGGGCUUGAAGUUUAGAAUCUAUUCAUAUUACAUUGUUAGAUUGAUCUUUGGCAUCUUAUAAUUUCGUGAAAUUUUGUAGAAAAAUACAUAAUACAUAUAAGUGACAAUUUUAAAUUAGUCAUUUUAAUGUGUAAUGGAAUAAUUAAUUUGUUUUAGAAUGUAAGAGAAAAUCUAGAAAAGUUAACUCAUAGGCAAGAAGAUGAAAUUAGAGAGGGGGUAAUGUGGUCUCGUUAAAAUAAAAAUGAGAUGGUAAGCGUGCAAAUAACAUUACCCUUUUUAAAUUUUUUUUGGCAUAGAUUAGUACCUAUGAUUAACAAAAUCUUCGUUUCAAUCCGGCCCAACUCCUCAUGUCUUGUUGGCUCGGUGGAUUGGGUCUGACCUAAUCAGGAAUCUUUCAACUGAUGCCAAUCCUAAUAACUCAUAAACUUUGUGAUUAAACUCUAAUAACUUUCAAGUUUCACAUAGCAUUAAUUGUUUGAGCUCAAGCUUUAAAGUUUAAAAUUCAAUCAUCACCGGGGUCAAGCUGAUCUCUAACGAAGAAGCUUGCAAGUUCUCAGUUCAUUUACAAUUACACCCCUAGUACAUUUGGUUGACCCAUAAUUAAUGCAUAUUGUGAAAAGCCUAACAAACUGUAUGAGUUAUCCCAAAUUUUAACAGAGAACAGAUUAAUGCAAUAAGUGUCCAAUUAAUGAAUUCUAAGAGACGCCUAAAGAUCUCAUUUCCAUUUUUUGUUUUGUGGAAAAGAUCAUUAAAUGAAACACACCACCACUACUUGGCCUGUAUAAAGGAUAUACAAGAACAAGUUUGAGCAGCCAACACUCGUAUUUGCACCCAUCUUUCCUCCAAAAUGUCAAAAAUUCUCAUCUUCUGUUGCAUUCUCUCCCUUCUCUUUGUCAUCAAUUUGGGUACUUUUUCUUUUCACUCUACCCUCUCAAUCCUUGUUAUGAUAAGAAAAAUAUGCACCAUAGUGAAAAAGAACGAAUAGUUGUUAUUCUGUGAAUUAGCAUAUAUUUAGCCAUACUAACCUAAAAUCUUUCUCACACUUUUUGCAGCCGAAGUGCCAAAUGCAGGAGGUUUUGGGGAUUCGAAAACUAGAAGAGUGAUUCGGGAAAGAGAUCAAAUAAAGUAGUCUGUAUUAGAGAUUGCAGCAGACUGUAUCCAAACUCCACAGCCAAUUGUUUCAAGAUACGCUUUGGAAAAUGCCUCUGCUAUUGCUAUGUACCGGACAGCCCUUCUUCUCCUCACUAAUUUAUCCAUGUUAAUGUGUCUGAAUGAGGGCCUAUAUGUAACAUCACAGCUUUAAUAUAUAUCAGCAAUUCAAGGUUUAUUGGAUUAUAUUAUUGAAACAUUUUUAUCAGCAAUUCAAGAAAGCUUUAUGUGAACAACAUAAAACAUCUCUUUUCCAUUUAAUAAAUUUUUUGUUUAAAAAAAAAGUAGCAAAGCAGCGAAGAUAUAUAGUACAAAUACCAGCAAUUUUGAAGAAAUCUUGUUUAUUAUAAGAAUAAAUGCAAACUAAUUAUCUCACAAAUCGAAUGAAGAUUGUUACGAACAGAACCAAGAAAUUAUAGUCUAUUGAUCAGCUGUAAUUAUAACGUAAAAUAAAUAAGUAGCAAAAGACGAAUAAUAUUGUGAAUUAUUCACCCAUAACCUUUGUGAGAAAAUCUUACAUUUGGAAAAAAAAAUUUAACAUGCAGUCCAACUAACUAUCUAACACAAAUUCAAUAAAGAAAAUGAUGUUAUAGACAGAACACAAACAUUACAUCCUAGUGUUAAUUAAGCAGACUCAUAUCACUAUUUCUUGUUCACAACUUUUAAUGCGUUCCUCUUUUACAACUCUCAGUUAAUGCAAGUAUUUAGUGCCAGUAACUAACCUGCAGCUGAAAAUAAAUAACCAGUUAGCAUUUUCUUUUUAAUGCGUUUCAACUAAUUCUCAGAGUUUUGGUGACAAUUAAUGCUUCCAGCUGCAGGUUUACCCUGUAUGAUAUGCAAGGCAAAAGCCCUUGUCAAAGGUCAAAGGCACCAAUGCUGAUGAUUGAACAUCGUGGACAUGGGUACCUAAGAGUGCAAUAAAACCUGAACCAGGUGCCAUAAAAUUAGCCUUGUUAUCUGAAGGCAUUGUAUUGCUUCUAAUGCACGCAUAUUUAUUGCUUGUAUUGACCAUUAGUUGAUCGGAAUUAAGGUCAAUCGUCUGGAUACAGGAGGACCAUUCACCACAUUCACGAUUCAUGUUUUAAACGGUUGACAGCCUUACAUAUUUGGCUAUAUAUAACCUUUUUUGGCUUUCAAAAUAGACAAAAAGUGCUAAGCUCUUCUUCAUUAAUUAUUCAGGAUGAUUAUCAGUCCCAUCAACAACAAUGUGUACCUUUUAAAGAGUACAAGAAAAACAAAUCACGCAACUUAAUUAUUUAGACUAAUCUUUUCCCAAGUCAAUUGGUGGUUCGAGAUUAUUGUCUCAAACAACUAAUUUCUUGAUGGAUUUCUCUCUUGCACAACAAGAAUAAUAGAGUCAAGAAAAAGGGCUCAAUUUUUUUUAUGGACAAAUUACACUUUACCCCUGUUAUUUAGUGUUUAUUUACAUAACCUCCCCAUAGUUUCAAAAAUUAUACAUAUCUCCCUCAUAAUUUGGACUAAAAUGUCAAAGUAACGGAAUUUGCAAUCCAUAAUGGAGUCGACUAAAAUGUCAAAAAUACCCCUAUAUAAAGUUAAAAAUUAUUUAUUAACCACAUGGGGUUAUAUAUAUAUAUAUAUCAUUAUAUUGAAAACCAUAAGGGAGUUAUAUGGUAAAGCACUAAACCAUAAGGGGGUUAUAUAGUAAAAUAUAAAACCAUAUGGGUUAGAGUGCCAUGCAUAUUAUAUUUAUAUAUUUUGGUCACUCCAACCGCAUUAAUUUUUAAAUAAGAGUAAUAUUGACAUUUUCAUAGGUUCCAUUAUGAAUAAUCAUUUCUAUCAAUUUGACACUUUAAUUCAAACCAUAAGGGAUUAUAUAUAGCUUUUAAAACUAUCGGGGGAUUAUGUUCAACAGAUGGGUAAAGUGUAAUUUGCCCCUUUUUUAUUCACAUUCGAUUAGAUAUCUGCCCGCUACAUCAAGGCUGUCCUAGGUCCAUGAGUUGGUUGACAUUGGACGUUGUAUAGUUUGGUUCACUAGUAUUUAUAUUUGGUGCGGAAACCAUACCACGUAGUUGCCUAUUCUAUUUACAAAUUGCCCCAGUUAGCAACUUAACAACUGCACCUCAUCAAUUUCAUCCCUUAUGACAGUCAAGGUAGAGAAAUUAUAUACAAGAAUUUGUUGAAGCAAAGCCAAAGAACUCGAGUAUUGUAAGUAUGACGAUAUAAUAGUACUAGCAUUUUGUUAUUUUCGUGAUUUGUAUCUAUUGCUUUUGCCUGUAGCUGUUGGACGGACAAAUAAUGGACACUGGAAAGAGCAAAUGGAAGAACAAUUCAAUGAUCAAGAAAUUGGUUUCUUUAUCACUUCAAAGCAUUCGGCAAUACCUUCAAGAAUGGAGGGUGCUACUAUCAUUUCUUUGUCGAAGAGUAAAUCAUGGCAUUGUACUGGGCAGCUGAAAAAUCUCAACAAAAUCAUGAUGAGUACAGAACAAGGUAUAAAGUUGCUCCUAAAGGUUGUUUUUCAGUGUAUGUUGGUCCUGAGAAACAAAGGUUUGUGAUCAAGGCAGAAUGUGCUAAUCAUCCAUUGUUCAAGAUGCUGCUUGAAGAUGCUGAAUUGGAGUAUGGGUAUAGCAAUGAAGGCCCUCUUUUGCUUCCAUGUGAUGUUGAUCUUUUUUACAAAGUCUUAGCUGAGAUGGAUUGUGGCAAGGAGGCCAUGGUUGAUGAUUCUGAUUCAUCAGCUGGUGGUGGAUUUCCAUGUGGCUCCUGCAGUCCUUUCGCUCCGGCACGGCGUCUUCCAGACGGCACCAUCUCUAGAGUUUAUAGUCCAUAUGGACUUCUCAGUUCUCACUCCACCCCGAUUGCUGAAGAUGAAUCACUUCUGAAUCGAACAAAUGUAUAGAUUCUAAUUAUUGCUUUGUCUAAGAGUUUUUUGACCAGUUAGAAAAGCAGAUUUGAUUAAAUAUGGUAUCAAGAAUUAUCAUAGACCUCAUGUAUUCUUUGAAUACCAGAUGAUAUAAUUUUGCUAAAUCAUGUCAUGAACAGCCCUAUAAUCUACCUUGACCGAUUGUAUCCAGUUACUAACCUUUGAUAUAGUAGCCCAGCAUUACUUAAUUCCUAGUACGGAAUAAAAAUACUUAGUUUCAACUCAAGUUUUUUUUAAAACAUUUUGACCAAUCCUUCAAAAAAAAAAAAAACAUUUUGACCAAUCGGCCGUUGAUAAAUGUUUUCAGGUGACUUAAAUGGAUAUGAUCUCUCAUGCUAGGAAUCACUUUCAUAUCAGUUAAUGUAAGAGGAAGGAAAUUCGUGCUGCUUUUGCCAAAAGCAUCCUGUCUAGCCAUUAUAUAACAUGGCCUUUUAAGUGCUGUAAGUAUGGACGAAAGGGAAACAUAGCAAGUCCAGCGAGAUCUGAGAAGUGAGGAAAUAUAAGUAGCCUAUAUAUUGUCUCGCAAAUGACUAAAGGAUUCCAUACCUGACAAAAUUACUAAUAGCUAGUUUGGGAGGAAGGAAAUGGAUAGAAAAGAAAGGGUUUGAAAGGAUAAUAAAUUCUUUCCAUCGUUUGAGAGCCAAAAAGAGAAGGAAAAGAAAGGAUUUGGACUUCCUUCACUUCUCUCUGUGUAUUGGAAAACUUUCCGCCAAAGUUGGGCGGAAAAGGAAGGAAGGGACUGUGCUUUAAAUGAAAUUUUCAAUAUGACAAUAUUACCCUCAAAAUCAUGAUACAAAAAUUUUUAAUUCCGGAUGAGUCUCUCAGCUUACUUGAUUCACAUUUAUUUUCAAAAAGGGCAAUUUUGUAAAAUAACCUAUUUGAGCAUCUUUUCUUUUCAUCUGUUUUCAACUCCCAAACAAAAGAAAAACCACUUACCUUCUUUUCUUUUUUAAAACUCCCAAACAACUUAGAUAGAAACUUAAAUCCUUUCCCACCCUUUCUUUUCUAACUAACCCUUUCUCUUCUUUUUAUUCUAAACUCCCAAACUAGCUAUAAGCCAUUUCACUCCUGUGUAAAAUGGCAAGGACUUGUCUCAAAACCCAAUUUAGCUAGUAGAUCAUGAUGUCUGUGGUUCGAUUGUCCGGGCUUCCUUUCUCACUUCGCUUUUGUAAAGUUUGGAGUCUCUUGCUGAUUAAAAAAAAAAAAAAAAAAAAGGAAAGAAAAAUGACAAGAACUUCCCAUGCAAUCUAUUAUUGGGGGUAACUUCGCUUUGCUAACUCACAUACAUGUUCUACACGUCUCAAAAAUGGGAUAAUUUAGCAAUUGCAUAUGAAACAAAUUAGUCUAAAUUUCGAUAGGAUGUUCCAAUUAUUACAGACAUAGAACAGAAAAAGGGUAAUUUGUAGUCAAAGAUUGCACAUUACAAGCUCAAGCCGCAGCAGCAAUGUAAUGUAAUGGGGACUUUUUAAGAAAUCGGAAUUAAGGAUGCAAAGUGUGACAAGUGCUAAAAUUUGAGAGUAUAUAUGCAUGAAAUUAAUGCACCUCCAAGUAAACCGAUUUAAUUAAAUGCUUAUAAUCCUUUCAAAUGACAACUGAAGUGGUUAAACUGGCAUCAAUAAAAACAAUUUUAGCAUUUUAUUUACUCUUUUUAGAAAAUAAUGAGCUAUACAAACUUCAUUAUCUGCCCUUUUCUUUCUCAUGUGUACUAAUAAUGUACAUUCCUAGAAGAAGAUUCGAAAGUCCAGUAAAACGCAUAAGGACUAAUGUGUGGAGACUAAAUUGCGAUUCAAAUUGCUAUUACCCUCAAACUGGCUAAAUGAAACUAUUCAAGGGUUUUUGUGUUUCACCCCUAAAGUUUUCAUCAACAUCGCUUUGCAGCCUUUGUGUUUGUGAACUGUGCCUUUUUUGUUUGUUUGUUUUUUUUUUUUUUUGUUCUGGUCUAACACAACCUUACAUUGAAUUUUGUAUUUUGUUUAUUUGUUUGGUACAAGGGAGAUUUAGCAUAGAGUGAUAGUCGCAUUCAUUAAUCCAUGCCAAUGAUUACUUCUGUGAGAUUGGGACAGGCAUUAAAAACUCAUAGUUACAAUUGUCUCAAUCAAAAAUCAUUACUAACCCUGUACUAUUCUAUUCCCAAUUUUUGCAGACGUUGCUAGCUCUUCUCAAUACUUGCUUUGGGAAGAACAUGAGAAAAUUUAUUCAUAGUUUUGAGCAUUCAUGUAGAGAUCAUUUUGCAUUGAAUUCUCAGGGGUUAAAGGGAUAUACACAGUAGCGGUGUUAAAGCUCCAUGAGUAAGGGGUCAAUAGUCACUUGGAUCAAUAACAUGUAGUUUACGUUUCAAUUCAAUUAUUGGUUCACAGAAGAAAAUUAGUAUAAUGCAGUUGUUGUUCUAAAAUUUUGAAUCCUUGUCCGUUCAAGUGGUAUUUAUUACUUUUUCAAAUACGAUGGUGGAAAAUUUUAUAUUUUUAGAAAGAGAGUAAAGGGAAAUUUUUCCCAUAAUUUAAUUAAGGGUUGAAAAAUUAUGAAAAUUUGAGGGGGUUGGGGGCAAUUUGUCUGCCUCAGUAGCCUGGCUCUGCCCCUCCAUAUGCACAGUAAUCUAUGUGAUCAAUCAACAUUGAUCAAACAUUAGAAAGAAAUAUGAACAAUAAUUGCACUUGUUCAACUGUUGGUAUUGGUACAAAAUCAGGAACGACAAUCUUACAUAAUCUUUUUUAGCCAGAAACAUAGCUUGGAAUACAUUCCUGGAUCAGGAAAUGUAAGUGUUGUGGAAACAAAUACAGAACAUAAAUAAUGACAAUAGGUAGAAUAAAAUGCAGGAUGAAAGAUUCAGUAACAAAAGGCUCUGAGCUUUAGAUCUGCAUGAGCUCUUCAAACGUUUUCAUUGCAGCAGCUGGCAACCCCAGAAGCACAUUGAUGCUUUUCCUUUCUCUUCCAUGAGACAGAAACAGGCUUACUUCCUUCUCUGGAAGGGCUACAGGCCCUGAUAAAACAGGUUCCCCCCAUCCAAAAUCAGUAGUAUGGAAAGAUAGCCUAGACCAGGUUGUGAUGAGAAGCGUUGCAGUCAAAGAAGGCCUUACUCUAGUUGCUUCGAAGUAGUCUAUAGCAGAUCUCAUAUAACUGUCUGUGACAAUUUGGACUGAUUCUUGGACUAGCUUCACUGCAAAUGAAAGUGGAUUCCCGACUAGCUCACCCGCGCUGCAAAAUGAAUUUGUAAGCACAAUUCCAUUGCCAAAGUAGCCUUCUGGAAUUGGGGGAUCAAAUCUUGAUCUUCCAUCAACUGCAAAGAGAAGUUUUGUCUUUUGAUCAGGCUUCAUCUUCAGGCCUGGCUACGAGAUCGCCAUAUGAAUGCUGACAGGGCUUCAAAUGUGGUGCAUUUGGCCAGAGCUCCAUCUUCCAAAGCUUUCCUUUUGAGCUUUUCGAGUUUUUCUGGGUCAAAACAGAAUGACCUGUAGUGCAUUUCCUCCUUGUAUAGUUCAGCAGUAUUUGAUGUGUCAUCAAUUUCAGCGAAUUCAUGAUGGGGAAAUUCUAUCUUGGGAGGAUUUCGGGCUUUGAGUAUGGUUCUGUCCAUAAAUGGAGGCACUUUUAAAGGCAGUCCUCUGGCAACUUCACCCCAGGAGUUGACAAAUUCCAUUGCACCAAUCCCAUCAAACAUGCAGUGGUUCAUGCACAGCCCAAGAACAAAUCCUCCACACUUGAACUUUAGUCACCUGUAGAGCAAAAUCAGUUAUCACUCAAAGACCUUAAAUUUCCAGGGUAAAGGAACAAUAAACAGCAGGGCAAGCCAUACCACGUAAGAUUGCACUAUUGCAAUAAUUUCUGUUAUGAAAGCUCUACCGAACUUUCAAGGAUAAAUGUAAAUUCAGAUGCUCCACUUCUUUUCUUGAUCAUGUAAUAUACAUGUGACAUUGCAAAAGCCUAAUUCCUGAAUCAAAAUCUUUUCCUCUUUUUUAUUCGCGGCCUUUUUCUUUAACCACAGAGAUUUGCUUAUAUUUUAGUUAUUCAAAGAUGUAAGUUUGCUGGAGCUAAUACUCGAAAUAGAAGUUAAAGACAUGUUGAACCUGAGCAGCCAAAGGAGGAAUCUCCAGUACGUUUUUCGCCCCUGGAACAUCAUAAACCAGCUUUCCGAGAGUAACAGGAUCAGGCUUUGUGUUGUCGCCGAUGUCUUCAAUGGUGCAAUCUGCUUCAGCCUCAACAAAGACAGCCCCUUCUCCGGUACAAUCCACUAUCAGCUUUCCCUCAGGACUAAUGGUUAAACGCCCUGCAAGAGGGUGGUACUGAACAAGAACCUUUGAAAAGCAUCCUUGAUCAUCCUUACAGCUUCCUCAUUGCCCUUUUCCCCUGAUUUAAAGCAGUAAAUUGUACGAACAAUCACCGCAAUGUUCUGAUCAAGAUUUGAGAGGAAAUACAGGCCCUUCUGUGUUUCUUCAGCUGGAGGGAUCAAAGUCGGUUGUCCCUGCUUGACGGUGAGCUCAAAUGUGUUGCUCUUACCAUUCUCCAUUGCUAAAAUUGUUCAAAUGACACAAUCCUGAGUCAAAACACCAUGUUAGUGAAAUUCAAAGAGAUGAAAUUUGUGUGUUUCGAGUGUUUCAUUCAUGCAAAUUGCAUCAGUGGAGAUAAAAUCUCAUGACUUGUUUAAAAACUAGUAAAGACGGUCGAGAAAAAAACAUGUUCAGAUAUUUUACCUUCAAUAAGCACUCACUAGUAAAGAGAGCUUUUCUAUCUGUUGGCUGUGCUAAACUGAGAAUAUCAUGUUUUGGGGAAAGGGAUUCAAGGAAUAUAUAGGAAGACAAUUGCUUGCAAAAUUUGAAGAUUGUUAAGUUUUGGUUAACAAAGAUGGUCCAAUGAAAAUGACUAGUACUUUAUGAUUGGCAAAUUUAAUUGCUUAGAUUCUUCUUGUAGACUUCUAGGAGAAAGAGAUAUUAGACUAAUAUAUAUCUUUUGCUUUGUGUUUGGGGGCGGGGGGGGGGGGGGCGGGGGGGAGGGGGGGGUUGUUAACAUUGCCUAUUAAUUCUUAUGUACGUAAUCCCAUUGUACUUUUGAUUUUAGUAAAUUUUGUUUUGGUCAUUUGGUGAGGACAAAUUCUAUAUACUCAUAUUGGUAUGGUUAGGCUACUAGCCAUGGAACAAAAUUUUAGUAACAGUCAAGAGAACAUGGCGUAGUAGAGAAGAUCCUGUGGGGUUGGUUGGUAGGGUUGGCGUCCAAAUUUUGAUUACUUGAUGCAUCUAAAAUUUGAUGCAGCAAAAUGCCACGCUACCCCAGAUAAUCACUUUAUUCCUAGUCACUUCACUUAUAUAUAUAGCAUAACAACAAGAAAAGCAGAUUAUGAUCAAAUCUCCACAACAUUAUGGUUUUGUAAUUAAGUUGGCACUUUUUUGGCCUGGAUUGAUGGCAAUUCACCCCUACAUUACUCAAGGAUCAAAAAGUGUUUUGGGUUUCUUGAGGGUUAUGCUCUGUUGAAAACAGCCAAGGAGAACAUGUUACAGCAUCAAGGCAUUAUUAGCUAAUGUUGGGAUUUUUAUUAUUUUCCCUUUUCCUUAUUUUCUCCUAAAAUCUCUUCCUCUCCAUUACAAGUCCUUUUCUUUUUUCUUCUUUCAUCUCACUCUCUUCCUCAUCUUUCUCAAUACAUUUCAUGCUAAGUUACAUAUAUCUUCUUUUCAUGUAUGACCUAAAUUAGAGGAAUUAUUUUCUUAUGUAUGUUGAAAAGAGGAAAAGAAGACCACAGUUCUGCAUGGGUUUACCUCUAACUUUCUGUUAGGAUGAUUAGUUAGUUAAUGGUGUGUAAGCACAGCCCUUUUUGAUCUUUUAAUCUCUGAUAAGUUGACAAUUAGAUUGAGCAAGUUGCUAUAUGGAAAUUCUGAAAAAGAUAGAUUAUGUAAGAACAAUAAUAAUAAUGAUUUGAAAGCCAUAGCUGAAAGUAAAAAAAAACCCAUAUAUCUCUGUGCGUUGAUAUUGUAGCCUAACAAACUCAAACAAAAACUUUUAAAUCUUAGAUUAGAACAGAAUAGCAAACUUAAGAACUUGAUAUAUGAGUUUGGUUUAGUUGGUGCACACCCUACCCUCAUCCAGAACGACUGCACUUACCUAACUUAAUCACAAGGUUUUUGUUCAUUAUUGCAAAAAAAAAAAAAAAAUUUUUUUUGGGUUUAUCAUUGCAAAUUUGGUAACGUUGAGGGACAAAAAAAUUUACUUUCAAAUUUUAUUUAUUGCUUGAAUUAGGGGAAAUAAAAGACUUUUUGCUCACUUACAUUAGCUUAGUAGCACUGCCAAAAAAUAAUUCCUAAUUAUGCCAAAGCUAUGUUUUGAGUAAUAAUCACGAAAUUAGUCAAUAUCUGAGCAAUAUUUCAGGGCAAAAAUCCAGUGCUAUUGGAUUGGCUUUCUUCUUUCUUCUUCGUCUUCUUCCUCUUCCUCUUCCUCUUUCUUCCCUUUUUUUUUUCCCUAUUGAUAGCUAUAAUUGGGAGAAAUAGUCCCAAAUUGUGAUCUCAGAUUCUGACGCAUAUUCUCACUUCUGAAUUCAACAACAUUUCGGCUUUAUCUGAGACUAUAUUAUGCAGACAAGACAAUUUUGCUUCUUCCCUUGCUUUCCUGUUGAUAGCUAUGAUUGUGAGAAAUAGUCCCAAAUGGUGAUAUCAGAUUCUGACGCAUAUUCUCACUUCUGAAUUCAACAUUUCGACCUUAUCUGAGACUAUAUAUUAUGCAGAAAGACAAUUUUGAGAUUGCAAUAAAUUUGUCAUUCGAUUAGUGUUUGGAUUGGAUUUUUCUACCAAAAAAUUUUUAUGUUUUCCACGAACACGUUUCUAAUCACUUUUGAUCUCACAUAUAUCAAAUCGUUACAAUAUAUUUUUCUAAAGCUGCAGAAAAUAUCAAUCCAAACAUUUUUCAGAACCAUCCAACAUUUUUAAGAUAAACUUAAACCAUACAUGCUGUGCAAGGAAUCAAGGACAGCAGCACCAGUGGAAACAUCAGGUCAAGGAUAUACAUAUGAUCAGACACACCGACUAUGACGUUAAAAUGCAGCCAAAACCCACCAGAGACAGAAAUCCCUUUUAUUCUCUUAUCAAGAAGAACUAAUUAAGAACAAAACUGUCAUAGUUAUCAGAUAACAAGUGAGACAGAAGAUCUAUGCAUCUGAUAGAUAUGAUACUCAUCAAUUUGGAAUUAACAGACAUUGAUGAAAUGAUUUUUAACGCCAACCACCUAUGAUAGAUUAGUAAAAUCCCACUUAUGAGAGAUGGAUUUCAUCAUGGAUUUGAUAUUCUUUUCCUUUAACUACGAGUAGUCUGCGUUUAUUUAAUGGAAUCAUGUGCGUUCCUGUGAAAUUGCUAGAUUAAUAUAUACAAUUAUCUAUAGAGGAAAUUUUUAGGAACACAAAAGGUGUCAUUUCAGCUCGUGCUUUAGAUAUUGUUUACAUUUGAUUUUACAACCCUUUUUUUUCUCUUUUACAUUACAGCAAGGUUAUUUAAUUUUUUUUUUUUUUUUGUUUUAUCAAGCGAUAGCACGGUUAUUUUACCUACUCGAAGGAUUUAGGUAUUUGCUUGACACAAUCAUAUCCGAAAAUUUACUGUACUUUUUUUUUAAUUGUGGAGGAAUGUAGUUUAUUCUAUUUUUACAAUGAUUCCACUAAGUAAACUAGAAAUAGGAUAGCAACUUGACAACGACGCUAUUUCCAAAGCAAGCAAGAAGAAUGCUUCCAGGAGCAAGCAUCUUGUUAAUAACUGAAAAACCAAAAUUACUACUACAAGCAAAAGUAAAAGAGUUGCACAAAUUACAGGCUUAAUGGCUUGCAGCGCAUCAAUAUCAAAAUGAAAACUCAAGACAUUGAAGAUAAGUAAAAGACCGUACUUUCAAAUCCACCCUUCUCACUGUAAAAUGUCUCAUCUAUGUGUCAAAGAACAGUAUAAAAAUUACAAAUCUAAGUUCACUGAACCCACUUCUGGAAAAUUUCCUAGGUGUUUUACAGAGUUUAACAUCAAAUAAAUACAACUACAUCAAUUUCAUGCUCAAGCUAUAAGCUAAAGAUAGGAAGGGGAUUAGAAUGUAAAAAAUCCCUAAUGGUGAGAUUUCAUCCAAAGUACAGACACACAGUUAAAUGUUAUAUGAUACAGGUGACCUAUUCCGCCUUCAUCUGUAAGAAGUUUGACAGAAGGAAAUGAUACCGCAGUUGCAGUUGUGCUGCACACCCCCAUCUGAUAAAAGU
rnacentral:lncRNA from 1 species